rnacentral:lncRNA from 1 species
GUGUGCGAGGAUGUGUUUGAGAGCUUGGUUCAGUGUCUCAACUGUCACUCAAAGCUCUCAUUCACUUGGAUGCGCUUCUGGGAGUACUCCGAUUACAUUCAGAGUAACUAAUGUGUUGAAACUGUCUCUUGCCAAAUUGUGUUUUCUGAAGCCUGUUGGAGUGGGAGAAAAUAAGAGAAUCCUGAAGAAGAUUUUCAAAAAAUGUGUGUUUUUGUAGUGCUCCCUACGCAUAUGUGUGUUUGUGUAGUGCAGCUUCUGAACACGAGAAUUCUGAGCAUAUGGUUCACAAAAUUAGGUACAUAUCCGUGCAGGGACGUGCGAGAUGAAAACAUGAAUGAGUUUGCUGGCCCUCACUCUGGAGGUGAGCUCAACCAAUUUCCACACUAUUUCUCAAAAUUGACAGCAAAAGAAAAUUCCCGUUGAGGGGUUGUUUUUUUGCGAAGGGAUAGCUUGAAUACUUGAUGUAUGGAGACCAUGUCUGUGUUCGUAAGGUUCUAGGUUGUUUCUCUUGUGUGUGUGUGUGUGUGCGCAUGUGUGUUGAGCAAAAUAAUGUUUGGGUUCUUUGGGGGUAAAGCUUGGUGCACAUGUAUGGAAGUUGUCUGGGUUCCAUAUAGUGCUGGCCAUUAUGCAAUACUCCCUCCGUCCCAUAUUAAGUGACUUUCUAUUACAUGUAUCUAGACGCUUUUUAGGUGUAGAUAUAUUCAUAUUUGGACAAAUUUGAGUCACUUAAUAUGGGACGGAGGGAGUACAAUAUCGGCAAUAUUUUAACUGUAAAUGGGUGACAUUGUGUUAGUACAGGUUUGAUAGUUCAUGAGUUCUGCGAUAAUGUACACGGCAAUAGCACUUUGUUGCUUAUAUGAAGGUUGAUGUUAAAUUAUAAAAAACGCCAGCAUCUGUAUUCUCUGCAGUUUCAUGCACAUGAAAGGGGUUUGUUCUGUCAUUGCAGUCUCAGUUUGGUUCUUGUAGUCUAGAUUAAGGGGCUAGAUACAUAUCUGUUAACUGUUACCUAAAAUAGAUGUUCACAGGAUGAAGCUGUAAGUUCCGCGGCUCUUAAGAAGAUAUAUGAAGUAGUUUCUAGAAUCCAGAUCACCAGACAAAAAGGAACAUGCUCGGAGUAAUGCUUUUAAAUGGUCUUCCUGCAAGAUCUCAAAAUAAUAACAAUGAUGGUUGGCAUGUAGAUGCAAUUAAGUUGUUGUAAGAUAUGACAAAUUUACUGUUGGUUGUUGUGGAAUGUGAGAGAUGCAAGCCACUCCUGGUUUAUAAUACCAUGUACACUUGUAGUGAGACUUGAAUUAAGCCUGCAUAAAGGACACAAUUGCGUGACACUGAGAGCUGAUAUCCUGUAAGAGUCUAUAUGUUGUGUUAUCAUGUGAUUUAUACAAUAAUAGGCUCCAUUAUUAAUUUUUACACUGAACUGAUACAAUUAAAAGGGUUACUUAAUCUCAUAUGGUUAUCGCGUGUGAUCAUGCCAUUGCGAUGCAUAUGGUUAUUGAGAUGCUGUGUUAAAGCUCUCAGGUUACACUCCGUAAGACCGUUGCAACGCACGAGCAUUUCAACUAGUUUAAUAUGGUUCUACACUUUGUUAUUAUCCCUGUACCUUAUGCAGCUGGUAUUCUGUUAAAUGGAGUCUUAGUGUUGGUGUUCAAACAUAUUUGAACAAGUGGUGGUAAAGGAUUGUUCUGCAUUUGCAGAGUAGUCACAUUUAACCGAAUAUGCAUAUCUAAUUUUUCAGGAAGGAGAGCAGGUUUUCUUUGGCAGAUGUUUCGUUCUGUUCAUUAUAUUUCUUUUCUUUAUAGGUGAUUUGGUUCCAUGCUUGAGCAAGGAGAGCUUAUAGAUGGAUGUAAUUGUGUAUCUAUCGUCAUGUUCAAGUAGAUAUCAUGUUCUCUUACAUGCAUACAACUAUAAAAGUACCUUGUAUACAUUUCUAUUGUUCAGAUUCAGAUUAGCCAUGAAUUCAGAAUUGCCUAACUUAUAUAGUUUAUGAUCCCAUUGAAAACAAAAGAAUACCAUUUAAUAGUACAUUACUUGCACGAUACUUUAGCUAAUUUACUGACAUGAUUCUCUUUUUCACACAUGUUUUACUUAGUAUACUAUUCUAAGAAGAUUUCUGCUCCAGUUUAUGAUACUGGCAUCAGUGGAGGGACUUAGUAUACUAUUCUAAAAAGAUUUCUGCACGAUACUUUAGUUAAUACCUUUUAUGCUCUGAAGGAUUUUACAUCUGUUUUAACUUUAUUUGCAGAUUUUGCCACAAAUUUCUGCCACAAUGCACGGGGUGUCAUGUACUUGCAUCAGUGAAGGGACUGAUAAAUUUUGCAAGCAUCCUUGGACCGAAGUCCGGCUGGAGGCGCUCGUGAUGCAUCCUGGUUUAUCUAUGAUCCAAUUUUCAUUGUUGAGAAACCUGAGACGGGCAAUGAAAUGGUACUAUUGCAUCUCAUUAUCUCCUCUGGAAUGAAAUAAAAGAAAAUCCAAUCUAUGAAUAUUUUUCUUUUCUGGAGCCAUCACCACAUAUUUUAUUCCAUUUCUAUUUUGCUAUUAGUUUAGAGCAGGUGCUUCAGGGCACAUUCAAUCAUAUUGGCUAUCUACUCCAUUAAUAAAUUCUACAACUUUUAAUGAAUUUUAUGCUUUUGGUUUCCGCAUGUAAUAGUCAUUCACAUGCCAUUUUUUACAGUCACAUUGGAGCAGAUGCACAAAGCAGAUCCUAUCAUGUCUUCAGAUGGAAUGCUUAUUGAGGAUAUAAACGAUUAUUACCUCCGUGCCAAGCUCCACUUGGUAGAUCUUGUGGGUUCGGAACGGGCUAAGAGAACUUGUUCUGAUGGCCUUCGGUUCAAGGAAGGUAUUUGACAUAUUUGUUGAUUUAGAUGAACCCUUCAUCCAGGAUAAUCUCGGCCCCGAACUAAAGCUAAUUUGCGCUUCUUAGCAUUAGGCGUUCAUAUAAACAGAGGACUUCUUGCUCUUGGAGAUGAGAAGAAGAGGAGAGAAGGUGCCCAUGUCCCUUAUCGGGAGAGCAAACUCACUCGCAUUAUGCAGGUUAUAUUCUUCUAACGUAGCUGCACAAAUGUGGCCUUCAAACGAUCUUACCUUUUUAUUCUCUGCUUUUGGAGGAAACUAUACACUCCAUAAUAUUUUCCACCAGAAUAUUUUUUUCUAGAAACGGUUAUUCUACAAAGGAUCAAAAUUAGAGGAGAGUGCCAUGCCUGCUUUGGUUAAAGACUUUGGCAUUUUCUGCAGAAAAGGAGAGAGAGUUAGGACAUGCAUACAGUGAAAUAAAAGGCCUGAAGGUGACAGAAGCUCUGAAGGACAAGGCUAUUGCUGAGGUAAUUUGCUUCACGAGUUAACUUUCCCUUUUGCUUGCUUGAGUGUUUAGCCUAAGUUAACUUGUACUUCCAACUGCUUGCUAACUGAAUGCAACUUUUGAAUAUUCAUUGUGCUAAAGUAGACAGUAAAAGUAACUUUACUUGGCAUCGCUGCAGCUGAGCAAGGAGCUGAAGAAGCAGGACGAGAAGCUGAGGAUCCUGGAGAAGCAUCUUGGGCAGAAGGUUGCUUACUUACCUAGCUCAUCCAGUUUGAACAUAAAAUCAAGUACCUCUAUUUUCUUUCUUUCCCAGUUAUCUGAUUUUGGUCAAUUUUUUGGCGGUGGUGAUUGCAUUGCUCCAUUCUUGAUGUGCUUCUGAUUCUUGCAGGGCCAUUCCAUGUAUGCUGAAAUUCCUGGUUCUGAAGCUGCAAAGUUCAAGAAGCUGAUCAAAGAACACAAUGUGUAUGCACUGAGAAAGUUUCUGGUUGGUCCUAACAAGCAGGCGUACAGGCCAUUCCUUGGCCAGUACAUGAUCAGGUUCACCCCUUGGACUGUUGUUGAACAGAAGGCUGAUGUUUCUGAUGAUUUUCCAAAGCAUGUGUACAGCUUAACGCCUUUCUCCAAUCUUUCAACUCGUGUUGGGUCGCAGGAGUGCUUCAUAGGUACGACAUGGUAUGCAGUGCACAUAUAAAUAUGGAUAUAAAUUGUGCGCCGAAUGAAGUAAUUUUCCUUGUCUUCUGCAGAUGUGUUGGCCCAGGUCGUUGGUGUUUCCAAAGUAGCCUAUGUUCGGUUAUCGUCUAACACAUCUGACACUGCGAAAAGGGUUAUUGCGCUGAAAGAUGCCAGGUGCAAGCCUUGGUCCUAUUAUGCUGUUUUCGGAAAUAUCCUGUUUGGAGCCUAUUUUUACUGGUUUUCACGUUGUGUGUUUUGCAGGAACGUAGAGAUUAAACUUGUGUUGUGGGGUGAAAGGGCUGACGAAUUUGAUUCUCAGCUGGUUUACGAUGCAGGGCAGGAGUCGGCUGUGGUUGGUGUUUUACAACAGUGAGUUUCUUAUUUGUUAUACGCACGUGUUUUCUGAGCCGCUCACUGAUGUGACGAUGAAAUUUAUUCCGUUCAGGCGAGGAGACUUUGAGUGGUGGCUCUCCUUGCAGGUGGUAUCUGAAUGAAUAUCUUCCUGAGAUAGAUUCCUUUUUUGAGAGGUAAGCAUGUGGGUGGUCUGUGCUUCUGUUCUAUUAAUUGUGUGCAUGGAAUAGUGUUGGGAAUUUCGGCCUGUUCGAAACAAUGUCGAGUCAGGGGUCAUGGUUUUUCUGUCUUGCUGAGAAUGCCGAAAUACUAUAUUGCAGCUCAUAAUCUAUGUGUCUCGUUGUCUUAGAAGCAGACAAAAAAAUGAAUUUAAUUAGAGGGUGCUUAUUUUUUUUACGGAGUAUGGUUCUUUGUGCUUGUACAUACAGUUGAAUUCGUCUGGAGAAACCGAGUUAAAGCUUCUGGAUCACCCUUCCUCGAAGGAUAAAUUUAUUAACAAAGUUCGCUGCCUUCUGCAGGAUUUAGCUAUGUAGGCUAGGGGGCUGUCCCCUGUUAUUAUUUUAAUACAAUACUUCAAUUUUGAUAGAUAUUAGAAAUGGAAUAAGAGAUAAUGACUGCUCAAAGACUCGCUUGUUUCUGCAAGUCGUCUAUUUCCUUGUUAGCGAUAGUAUGAUCAGGCUCCCGUCUUUUGAACUCCGACUGGAAGAAACAAUAGUGUCAAAACUUUGUUACAAGACUUAACAGCCUGUGGUGCAUGCAUACCUUUAGAUUUCUUAUUGUAUUUUCAAAAUUAUCAUGCUCCAACAAUGCCUGCUGCAAUUUUUGAUCCAUUAGAGCAUAAGCUUCAACCAUCCUCUCAUGUUCAGCUGAGGUAAGGAAACAAUAAAUAAGCUUCAAGGGUGAGACCAAAACUCCGAAUAUUUAAGCAUGCAUAACAAAACAAGCAUGAUAUGCAUAUAUUUAACUAAUGUGCUAUAACUGAAGGGGCUAAGAAGGUUCACCAGAAAAAUUACCUCGUUCAUCUAAAAUAAGCUCAGCUUUCUCUUCUAUUUCAUGCAAGACCUAUUGUACAGAAGAUAAUUCAAUAUUACUCCAAUAACAGGCGCAAUAAAGAAUAGGAUGUACUACAAAGAAGCAAAAUAAUUAAUUUCUGCUUUAUUUUUUGGAGAAUUAAAUGGUAGUCAAAUCUACAAAAGAAGUAAAGUAACUAAAUAAUAGUAGUGGAGUUGUCAUCAAAAGUACUUGCUAUGUUCAAAAAAUUAUAUGUAUUUCAAAACUGCAGUGCAGCACAACCUUAGACUAUGGCCAAAGAUAUAUAAGGUCUGUUUAGAUUGGUUUUGGACCUAGAGUUUGUUCCCCUAGAGGUGUCUUUCGACGACUUCUAAAUAGAAUUUUGUGUCACCCUGUCCGUUAGUUGAGUAGCAGGCCAGCAGUGCUCUGCUCCCUGCCAUAUAUUUUCAAAGAAAAAAUGGUUUUGGGCUUCAUACUACCAUAUUAGCCGUUAAACAUACUUUCAUAUGACAACAAUAUAUAAAUGUUUGCACUUGAUAUAAAAUAGAAGGACUAUGAUAAUGAUAUAUGUUCCGAGUCAUACCUAUGUCCAAAAUAUUGCCUAUAUUGUUAACAGAGGAAACAAUAUGUCGGUGUCAAAUGACAUCUAUUUGAAAACAAAGGGAGCAGCUGAGAGAUGCUUGUACCAAAUAUCAUCUGCUUUUCAAAUGUGUCUAACUUACACGUGAGGAUCAAAAUAUAUGCAAAAGGAAUAAAAUGAUGAUGCAUAUUUUACAGUUUAAAAAUAAAAUAUGUUUGAUUUCCACAGCAAAAUCACUAAGGCUCAAAAGGUCUGCCCUAAAAUGCUUGGCCCCUUUAUGCUUUGCUUGCGCUUUGGGAAGGGCCUCUCAUCUGAUUGGUUUCCCAACUUAUUUGUUUGUGGCAGUCUUUUCAUUCACCUGUAUUGUUCUACCUUUUCUACAUUAUUAUUUAAUUUGUGUCUGCUACUAUUCUGUCAAAAAAACACCUUACGAACAAUGGCCAGUUUCUUCUUUUCUCGCUGGCCUGCACAUGAAGCAUCUGCUUCUGGCCUGCACAUGAAGCAUCUCCCAAAUCAAUAGAGCAUCAUGUCAUUUGAGUGAUUUCAUGCACUGUUUACCCUUUUCUUCCUUGGGUCUGUUGAGAAUUAGCUUCACAUUUUUCCUGCAUCUAAUACUUCCCCGUUUGCUCUUUGAGGUAUGCCUGUGCUUAGGUUUACAAAUGAAAGCAUGAGGAUUGUUAUGGUAAUUGUUAUUGGAGUGGUCUUGGGAUUCUUCAUUGGGAUUUCGUUCCCAUCAGUGAGCAUAACUAAUUUAUCAGCGUAACUGCACUAUUUGAAUUGAUUGAAUUGAGUAACUUAUCUAUGUUUGGAAUGUGUCAGUUACACUUCCCAUGCAUCCAGCUUUGUUUCAUAUGUAGAAGAAGGGAACUCAGCGCUCACAAUCCAAGCUUUACUUAAUCCUGCCUGGACUUCUGCCAGAAAUGCAAGGAAUAACAAUUUCGAACCAAACUCAAACGGUACUUUGAAGAUUUGUUCUAUUGACUUGAUUAUUUUUCACAGAGUGACAGACUACUAUAGUACUAUACUAUGGUCACUGUUUACCUCUGAUAUUUUUUUCACUAAAAAAUGAUUUUCUGUAUUAAUGCAGAAUCAUGUCCCAACGAACCCAAAGGGUGCAGAGAGGCUAGCACCAGGCAUUGUUGUGCCAGAUACUGACUUCCAUUUGCGCAGGUUGUGGGGAGACCCAAGUGAGGUACAUUUUCUUAUGCAGUAUGCUCAUAUCACCUAACUGAUGUUCUGAAUCCCCAAAAUCUCAUGUCUUUGUCAACUAUUUAGAGUUGCAAGCAUUUAGGCCCUCUAUUUACGCUUGUUCUUUAAUAUUUCAUUUCCCUUUUCCAAAAAACUGUGCUCUGAAAUUGGAAUUAAUGCUAAUAUUAUUACUCCACUAUUCAAUAAAUAUUUAGUAACUUCACAUGUUAAAAUUUGAAGACCUAAAUUCUACAGCCUUCUGAAGUAUGUUCUGAUGUAUUUGCCAUUCCUUUGAUAAUUCAGUUUGAAAUGUAUUUUCUUCUAAACGCUUGUUUAUGCAUACCUAGGUGGUAUGCCAAAAGGUUCUUGCAUCCUGAUAUUGUGGCAGCUUACGAGUACAUAUUCAUCUGGGAUGAGGACCUUGGCGUGGAUCAUCUCAAUGCAGAGGAGUAUGCUUCCACCUUCGUUUCUCCGAUCAAUGUUUCUUUGUAUGAUUAACUGACAUAUGCUUGUUGAUGUUGGAUUACAGGUACAACAAACUUGUUAAGAAAUACGGUCUGGAUAUCUCCCAAACUGGUUUAGAUCCUGACUGUGGAUUAACUUGGCAGAUGACAAAAAUAAGAGGUGAGCAUGAGGUCCACAAGUAGUGGAGCAGUUUUAAUCCAAAGCAAUGUUGUUUGCUAUUGACUUUUUUAAUCUAACUUUUUAUUGGCUGCGACGGUUGACCUAGCUAACUUGGGUUGCCAUUUUUUUGCAGGAACACAGAGGAGAGGCUAGGCUGGUGCGCAGAUCCUCAUCUUCCGCCCUGUGUUGCGUAUGUGCUUAUUAUCCUCAACUCCUUGUCAAUAAGCAUGAUGUACUAUUGCAUAUAGAUCUAACUGGUGUAUCCUUGAUUGCUACAUGAAUUUUCCCACAGUGUAUAGGUUUGUCGAAAUAAUGGCUCCAGUCUUCUCUUGAGACGUGUGGCGGUGCAUAUGGCACAUGAUUUAGGUAUCUACAUUUCACAAACCUGAACAGCUUGCAAGUCAAUAAAGAAUCCUCAAGCGAAAGUUUUGUGAAAUUCGUUUGUUACUACAUCAAUCCAUUUUUAUUUCUUAGGGAGUGAGUGUGCGUGCGUGUUUGUGGGCGUCUGCGUCUGUAUUGUGUUUUCUAAAAUAAAAAAUCCAUUUUUAUUUCUUAUUUGUUUUGUUGAAGAACAACAACUUAUUAUCUGGAAUUUUACCUGAUUCACUAGCCAUAGUUAAUGGCCUUGUUACCGUAUGUUCUGUCAAUAUCUUUAUAGUUAUGUCUGUUUUCCUCUCCUUCGUGUACUGUAAUAAAAUAUACCUUUGUAGCAGAAAAGAAUGUUAAUUUUUUGUCCUAAAAUAUACCUUUGUAGCAGAAAAGAAUGGUAACAAAGAAUUAACCUUGCAUUUGGAAAAUCCAUGCCACCGUUCUCUAUUAUUUGUCCUAAAAAUGCUGGUCAUCUUAGUUUGCGCAAAAAUACACUGACAUGCUAUUAUUAUGACAUAUCAAACCUGCCGGCAAGGCGGUAACUUGAUUCACUUUUGGUAUUUCAAUCGUUUUAUUAUUAUUUAGAGUAUCUCUUGCAUGUUAACAUUAGAAGAUCGACCGGUCUUGACAAUUGAAAUUAUUGCAACUCACUCACAAUGUUUUUUUUGCCCGCAAUGCUAAUUAGUGCAUUGUUUUUAGUUUUGUUCCUCAAAUACCUAACCUGCUAUUUCUGCCUUUCAUCAUUAGGUAAUUCUCCGUUUCAAUAGUUGCAUGUUAAAGUGCUAUUAAAUCAAGCGGAGAUCAUUUUCAGCAGCUAGGUGUAGUUCUCAGGUGACCAAUUGUUUAAGUUUUGUUCAUCAUUUAUUUUUAACUUGGUUGUUAUUUGCAUCUAAUAGAGGUGUAGUUCGCGGCAGUUUGAGGUAGGUGCUCUUCUGGAUUAUCAGCUUUUUCGAACAGAUGGUUAGGUUUUAUUACUCGGCAAGAGAUUACAUUCUUAUUUCUGCUCAUUUGUGUGUUCUUAUAACCUAACGAUAUCUAACCAAUAUCUUACAAACUACAAAGAUCUAAGCCAUGACAUGUCUUAUAUAAAUUGUGGGGAUCAAGACACCAAGUUGCCUAAAAUUCGAGAAGCUCAAGAUGCCUUAUAUCUUUGCUGGACAUACCUUGUUGCUGAUCGAGAACGAGUACAGGAGGGCCAAUCCGAAUGAAAGGCCGUUGAAAUGAGCACUUUCUCCAUCUUAGCAGCCCCUUCAUCUCUCUGCAGAAGAUGCCAUUGAAAUGAGCACUUUCUCCAUCUUAGCAGCCCCUUCAUCUCUCUGCACCACAUCGUAGAUUACUCACAUGGCAGAAGGGAUAGAAGACGUCCGCGGCUGAUGGAUUGAUCGGAGGAGCCGGCCAUGGAUCAAGAGAAAUCAAAGGCAGCCCUGAAAUUCUCCCGUAUGGUCGACUGCAGCCGCAUCCUGCUCUGGCCCUGUCGGGUGGCCACGCUUUGUCCCACGUCCGCGGCCUGCUCCGGCCUUGCCCUGCUCCGCGGCGCCGCGAGGCCUCGCCUUGCUCCGCCGCGCCCGCCUUCCAACCCACCGGGCGGGCGCACCCUGCCCUACCCCGCCGCCUCGCCUUGCUCCCCCGCGCAAGCCUCCAACCCGCCGGGCGGCCGCGCCCUGCCCUGCUCCGCCGCCUUGGCCUGCUCCGGUGCGCCAGAAAGAUCUUCUCCACCGCCUCGCCUUGCUCCGCCGCCGCGAUUUGGGGCUGUGCCUGCUCCGCCAAUGGGGAUCUCGGGAUUUAGAGAGGAGGAGCAGAGAGAGAGAGAGCCGUCGAGAGGAGAGAAUGGGAGAGAGCAAGGAAAGGGGGAACACCCCGAUCGAGAGACAGAGGUGGAUCGGACGGCCAGAGAAACGUCGAUUUAGAAUGUCCGUUUUUUCUUUAGUUGGGCCUUAUACAACAUGGGCUUUUCUCAGGCCCCGUCUGGCCUUAACGGGCCCGGGCCGGCUCGGUCGGGCUCGGUGCCACGCCUGGUCCUGGAGGAGGACAUUUCGGGCUGGUCCGUCCUGGCACAUAUAUUGGCGGGCUUCAGCGGGCCGCGCCCGGGCCUGGCCAUUUUAUCUUUAGACGGGCCCGUGCCGGUCCGUUGGCCACCUAUAUCCGUGAGGCGCUGCAGUUGGUGGAAAUUACCCACGCUGCCACUCCCUUAGUCCCUUACCAGUUCGCCACGGCAGAAAAAGAAAAAGAAAAAAAACCUAAGUGUUUAAAAGUGCCUAUGCACUUCCUGUCGUUGUCGGGCGCACACGCUACAUCGCCGUCCGAUGCGUUGAUGGGCAAGUAGACCGUGCGAUUGAAUCCUUGCCGCAGCGCUGUUUUUCGGACACGACUGGACGGUGUAGGUACACGUUUUGGGGCGGGGCCCAGCUGUCGGCGUAAUUAUUUGCCUCAUCUCUCUCUUCCUUUCCCCACAUCGCUUUCCCCCUCGAUUUCUCUCCUCCGUGCAGGCAUUUCUUCGGUGGCGAUUUCGGAGACGAUGGAUUUUAAUUUCAAUGGCGAGCGGCGCCGCUGCGUCGAACGAGAAGCUGCAUGCGAGACGGCGAGAGGCGCGCAUCGUGGGGUACCAAUAGCGGCGUUCGUGGCCGGCGUCCUUUUUCUGCGUGGCGACGAAGGGAGCUCACCGGUGAGUUCGUUAGGGCUGGGGUCGGGCGGGGGUUAAUUGCAUGUUGCGUGGGGAAGUCGAUGGCGUGUCCUGUUGUGUUCUUGAGAAGAGUUUGGGGAUUUUAGUGUCGCAUCGAGCCCGACGGGACGGAUCGAGUAGAGUGGGGGCUGAGUUCGAGCAUGUUUACCUAAGCAAUUUCCAGAUCAUUCCUGUGCAAAUCCCGCAGCGUUCGUGCCGUUUUUGUAGCUCCUCGGUUGAAUCUAGGCGUCGGCGAUUUUUGUCCUUAUUUUUAGGCUGGUGGGUUUCGAACACCUUGUGGGCGGUGGAGCUCAGCGCGGUGUAGAAGCCAGCAAGUGUCGUGAAUGGCGGGCAACGGCGAGGUCGCUGCGGUGGAGCUCGAGGAGGCGCCAGGCGACGACCAGCUCGGCGCUGUGGAGGAGCCGACCACUGCUCGAUGUGCCCGUGGUGGAGGAGCCGGCCACAGCUCUCCUGGUGUCCGGCAGCGGGAGGAGAUGAGGAAGGGGGAUGACGGCGGGGCUGCAGGAAGGGAGGAGAGGGGAGGGUCGAGUGAGUUGUUGUACCAAAUUAGGCCAAAUCAACUUUGUUUGAACCAUGAGUUACUAGACCAAGUGUGUAAUUAGUUGCUUUUCGGCACUCAACUAUUCAGGUAAAAGUUGCAUCCCUCAUCCCAAAUUUUGGACUACAAGUCGCUACACUAGCUAACCUUUUUUCCAGAUUUGCUUGUAGUUUGUUUUUUCUUAGCUUUUUAUGAAGUUCUCACUAGAAAUUGCAUUAGAUUGUCAAUUUUAUGAAGCAGCUUCUUUUAGUCAUUGAGAUUCAGUUGAUUCAGUUAAAGUAAAAUUUGCGUUUUUGUUUAAUUUUUUUGAGUAAAAGUUGCAUCAUAUUCAGGGUCGACAACGUGUUGCAGGUUUGGAGUUUUUGCUCCCCCCACACUCCCUCAAGUUGCUUUUCUGUAAAUUCCUUAACUAAUCAUUUUUGCUAAUUUGUGUUUGCACUGUCUAUUUGUUUCGAGGUGCCCGAAAAUACUGAUAUCCAAUGCAGGCAUCCCAGAGGCAUAGGGCAAGAGGUGAUCCUCUGGUUUUUCAAAAAAAAAAAAGACUCAACCCAUGCGUGCACGGUUUUCAACAUACUAAAUCAUUCUAUGCCCUAUAUAGCCCCUGUAAGUGCCUCGUUUUGAUACAGACGGCGUACGCUAAUAUAGUUGUAGUUGCAUGCCUUAGCUAAUAUAGGGGAGGAGAUGGGGGCUUUUUUGCCAAUGCAACUUUUAUUUGCUUAUCUAUAUGUCUAGAUUUAGGUCAUGUUUGUCGGGUUUUUUUCUUAAGCAAUAUACCUGCCCACGCGCCCUCCCCUAUAGUUGCUUUUUAAUCUUAGCUAAUGUAGUUUCUUUUAAUUGUUUUAGUCGCUCACGCACCGCCUUAUAAUUGCUUCUUUUAAUAUAGCUGGCAGUAUGCUAACAUAGUUGGCAUGCUUCAGCUAAUGUUUGUCGCUUUUUUUAAAGCAACUUUAUGUUUUUUGUUAUUUCUUAGGACCCUUCUUUUUUAAUAAUUAGUUUGCUUACCUGUAUGUUGAGAUUUAGGUUGUCGCUUUUUCUUGUCAAAAUAAUUGCUCUCACACCCAUCCCCUAUAUAGUUACCUUUUACCAACUUAACUAAUGUAGUUGCUUUUAAUUACCCUUUAAUUACUUAGUCGCCCACACACCACCUUUUAAGCCACCUUUUAAGUUGCUUCUGUUUUUUUUUUGCCUAGGCAUGGUGCCGAUAUGAAUUAUGAAAUCGGUUGCUUUAUGAUCAUUUAGUUGCUUCCUCAUAAUUCAUCUAGUGUCUGCAACUUUAUUUUAGGUUAUUGGUUUCUUCAUAAACUCUUUCCCUAAUUAGUUGCUUACUUGUAUGUUGAGAGUCCGUUGAGAUUUUAGGUUGUCGCCUUGUCUUGUCAAUAUAGUUGCUUCACACCCCACCCACUAUAUAGUUGCUUUUUCCAACUUAACUAAUGUAGUUUUUAAUUACUUAGCUGCUCACACACCACAUUCUAAGUUGCUUCUGUUUUUUUUUGCCUAAGCAUGGUGCCUGUAUGAAAUCGGUUGCUUUAUGAUCAUUUAGUUGCUUCAUUAGAAUUCAUCUAGUGCGUGAAACUUUAUUUUAGGUUAUUGGUUUCUUCAGAAACUCUUUCCCUAAUUAGCUGCUUACCUAUAUGUUCAGAUUUUAGAUUUUUUUUUUCUUUUCCUAUCAAUACAAUUUGCUUCACACCCCGCCCUGCAGUUUAAACUUCGCUAAUUAUAGGUGCAUCUGAUUGAAUUAUGGUUCACGUUGCAACUAUCCUUAUUUAGCAAAUCUACUCACAUUUAUGUGUUGUUUUUGUAAAUAUACAAAUCAAAUUGCUUACACAUUGACUAAUAUUCACAAACUUGAUUUUUUUAAAUUCUUUCUUACAAUCUGACUUAUUCUUGCAACUAUGCCUAUACAAACUUGCUUACAUCUGACUUAUUCUUGCAACUAUACCUAAACAAUUUGCUUACAUUAUAGUUUAUUCCUAGUUUAUUUGUUGCAAACUAGAAAUGGCGAGUUGCUAAUGUACCAGCUAAGUCUUGCUACUUUACUUUUCAGCAAUUUUUUCUUACGUUCCAUUGUUAUUUCUGCAAUUAUACCUGCACAACCUGCUUACAAUCUGACUUACUAUUGCAACUGUACCUAUACAAACUUACUUAAAUAUGGGUUAUUUUUGUAACUAUACCUAUGUAAACUUGAUUAUAUCUGACUUAUUCUUGCGACUAUAUCUAAACAAUUUGCUUUCCUUAUAGUUUAGUCCUGGUUUAAUUGUUGCAAACUAGACAAGGCAAAUUUCUAAUAUAAUAGCUAAGUUUGCAACUUUACUUUUCAGUAAGUUCUCCUUACAUUCCACUAUUAUUUCCGCAACUAUACAUACACAAUUGCUUACAGUCUGACUUAUUCUGGCAACUUUACACAUACAAACUUACUUAAAUCUGGGUUAUUUUGGAACUAUACCUGUAUAAACUUGCUUAUAUCUGACUUAUUCUUGCUGCUAUACAUAAACAAUUUGCUUACAUUAUAGUUUAUUCCUAGUUUAUUUGUUGCAAACUAGACAAGUUAAAUUGCUAAUAUACUAGCUAAGUCUCGUGACUUUACUUUUCAACAAGUUCUCCUCACAUUCCACUGUUGUUUCCGCAACUAUACCUACACAAACUUGCACACAUUUGAGAGUAUUAUUGCGACUACACAGUACAGAAAUUGCUUAAAUCCUGGUUUACCCGUCAAUAUAGCAAAUGCAAAUUUGCUAAACUUACUUGCUAAACCAGGCGUUGUUUACUUGCAACUAUGCCCUUUAACAAGUUGCAUUGACAGCGGUAUCAGUUGCAACUACACCUUCUUUUAGCAUCUUUGAUUUCAUCAUGGAUACCUACGCAAAGUGUUAAUGAGCUCUAAUUGCAGAAAACCAACCGUACAUUUUUUGCCUAUAAGGAUUUUUAUACUCAAUUGUUCCUAAUGUUUUUUCCAAUAACAAAAUUGAAUGCAUGUAUUCGUCCAGGGGGUCGAAUUUGCAAACAACCUCCGGGUUGCAAUUUAUUCACGGAACAAAGGCUUUCAACUGCACACUAACAAUUGUACCUUAAAAUACACAGGUUACAACGAGACGAAGACCUUCAGAUAUGUACAUACCAGGAGGUGUGUGUGUGUUGGGGGGGGGGGGGGGGGGGGUGUUGGUGCAUUAGAUAAUGAGGAGCAGAAGACCUCAAGAACUAAUGAAUCUUGGACGAAUAUAUAUGUUUCAACUUACCUAGUUCGAAGCUUCAAAGUUUGUUGUGAUUGUUUUGUUCUAUGCCUAUAAAAUUGCAUACUAUGUACAGGGGUAUGAAAUCUGGUCUGAACAUAUCUAGACCUACCAAGAUUGAAGUUGUAUAUUGCAUUCCUAUGUUGAUAAACUGAUCUAUUAAGCCUUCUUUUCCACUGUGUGCCUGCGAGUUCUUUUGAUUCUGAACUACAAGAUGCUUUCUUUUUCCCACAGAGGAUGCAGUAGAGAAGGUUGCGUAGUCUGCCAGCAAGUUUUUCUUGCUCGAGGGGUUGGUUCCCGAUGGGUUUCAGCGCGUCGGCAUGCGUCCAGCGAAAAAGUGCGGGAGGCGGCAGGGGCGGGGGUAAGUGGUGGGUAGACGACGCCCUAGAAACAACUGGCGGGGGGACCAGGAUACUAAUCGGGACAGAGGGGUUUUUCUAAUUAGUCGUGCACCCUGGGCUACCAAAAAGUAACCGUGCACACCCUAGUCCCGUCCGAAAAGAAUGUUAGGAUAAUCCUGAGCAUGAGUCUAGAUAGGCGCAUGUGUUUGUGUCCUAAUGGGAUUAGGAGUGUGUCCACGUGCGGUUAGUGUUCUUGUGUAUUUAGGAUUAGAGUCCGAGUCCUAAUUUUGUUAUGCAUCCGUAUAGGAUACUAGUCGGAGUUGAACUAGGAGUUCAUGUUCUGAUAGGUUUGUUCCUUGGUUGUCAUGUAAUACAUGGGUAGGCAGUUUGUACCGGGGGAUUUAAAAAGAAAUAAAAAGAUUAAUAGAGGUCCUUGUCAAAUAAUCCGGUGAUCCUUGGUCAAACCCAACAAAGAAAUCCCUCUCUCUUUCGCCCCGACAGAACUUGGGGCGAUUGCGGGCAAGGAAACCCUGGCGUCCCGCCGCCGCCGCCACAUCGUUGCCGCCAAAGCCUCCUCGUUCUCCGCCGCCAAGUUCUUCUCGUUCUCCUCCACCAGAGGCUGCGGCUGCGCCGACCCACCAUCUGCAGAUCCAUGCCGCGGCCGCCCUCCAUCGUUUCCUUCCGGCCGGACGCCCUGGCACCCUCCCCGCGCCCCGUCUUCCCCGAAUGGGUCUUGCUCGACAAGACCGGUCUUAUCUCCGUCGACCGGAACGAGACCACGGCCGAGUGCACGACGAGCGAGGGCCAACCCGUGGCGGUGUCCUUUCUGGCUCGUCGACGCGCCGGAUGUCUCCUCUUUCUCCGUCGACUGCCCCGGCAUCCCAGAGAAAGACUUGCACUCCCACCCGCCCUUCAUCAUCUGCGCCGAGGGACCCUUCGUCCUCUUCUGCGUCGUCCUCGACGUCCCUAGUUGGCGCUCUUUCCACCUCUUCCUCUACACAGCUUCUGAGGAGCCGUCACUCCAGCUGCUUCCGGAACCUGCCGAUCACGUGGUUGAGGACUUCGAAAACCAGUACUUUGCAAUCUUGCCCUCAAGCGGCGACCACCACCGUGACUAUGCUGUGGCUUUCCUUGAGUGGGAGUGGCAGUCGGCUGAUAUUGCGUACCCGCAGUACUAUGCUUACGUAUUCUCGUCAAAGAAACGGUCAUGGACCAGGAAGAAGGUUCUGCUGAACCUGCACAAGUCUGAAGAAGCUCUAUUUGUUGAUGCAUAUGACAUCACCAAGCAGAUGGCUGUCGGAAGCACCUCACUGGCCUGGGUUGAUUUGAUGCGUGGGGUUAUUCUUCUCUCUAACGUGUUUGACCAGCAGCCAGUCAUCAAGUAUAUCCCGUUCCCCGCGUCAAGGGUCCGCAUUCCUGACGACGAUAGCCGCACCCCUUCCAUUGCUGUUGAGUAUGUUUGUGAUGUCAUUUGCUGCAAGGAACUCAUCAAGUUUGUUGAGAUAGAUUGCGAUGAGUGCAGCAACGGCAGCACUUGGAAAGCAAUCACAUGGAGCAGGAAAGUCUCGUGGGACAAUUGGCGCAAGCUUUACACGGUUGAUGUUGAUGACAUCUCAAUUGAUUCGAGCUAUGCAGCUUUGUUGCCAGAACUGCUAGACAAAAAUACCAAUCAACUUAAGCUGAAGAACCUGAUUUGCCUUGUCCCUACCUUGAGCAUGCAAGAUGAUAAUCUUCUUUACAUGAUGUCCAAGGUGAAGUUUGAAGAAGGGACAUCUUGGAUCAUUGCAGUUGACAUGGAACAUGUGGCUGUGAAGGCAGUAGCCCCGGUUUCUACCAAAACGUCCUGCACUUUCCCCAUGUACUUCCCAUGUUCCUUCCCCAAGUACCUCAACUACAUGACACCAGGUAUGGUAAUUUCACCUUCUUUUUCUCUCCUUGUGUCAUGUGAGUUAGCCAGCAGUAUACUAUGUUAACUUUUGGACCCUUGGUUGUCUGUUUGUUACGGAUGUACCUUUCAGUAUCAACGCUGUUGCCAUUGGAUUGUUAGCUGUUUGUCAAUCUUCAUACAUGUUUCUUAUGUUAGAAAUUGGCUUGAGGCUGCAGCCAUGAUCAAACAAUGUGCUAGCAGUAUGUGCCUUUGCUCUAAAAAGUCCCCGCCCACACAAGUAGGCAGCCAGCAUGCUCAGUUACCAGUUCCGUAACCUCCAUGUUAUAUAGAUUCACGUUAUGGUUAGGGGCAAGUACGCAAGAUAAUAUAGCUGCUGAUAUUGUCUGACAGCCAUGGUGAAUCAUGGGGUCAUUUCCUGACUUUUGUAGGAUGGUCUCGUACCUAAUUAACUUAUUUUGCUAACUUAUUUUAUUAUUAGAACAGCGCUUUGUGAAUUGAGGCGGUAAUGAACUGACUCAUACUAUUCCUCUAACUAAAUAAACAGAAAAAAUAGCAGGGAACUGUUGAUGCUAAUUCAAAUCUAGUCCUCAAAUCAAAUUAAAGUUUCAACGAAUAGACAUGUUUAUCCUCAGGUGGCAUUUGGACCACAAAGUACCAAAAUACAAGUGGCUCUCUCGGAAAAUGCAUCAACUGUAAUGAAAUUGCCACUCCAGACAUCCAAGCCUCUUGUAACAAUGUCUAUUUGUAAGCAACGUCCUUUUGUUACCAUGUUGUGGGUCUUUCAUGCCAUGUCUGGUGGACUAACCUCCGCAUAACCAGACCCAAUUUUACCACUGUCGGAUGGUGUUGGCUGAAUUGGUCCAUGAUCUGUUCAUGACCCCCCCCCCCCCAAGUUAUAUGCUUUUCUUUCCUUGUAUUUGUACCUAAUUCUUCUGUCUCAUUUUUUUUUUUGCGAGGAGCAGAAAUGGUAAAUCCAGCUAUUGUCCCUCAAGUGCCUCAGCAGAAGAAGAGGAGGAGGGGGAGUAAGAAGAAGAAGAAGAAGAAUCCAGCGGAGGUUCUGGAUGACCGAUUUCGGUUGUAUUUCCAUUUCAUCCUCGGCAUAUUGACAGCAGCGUCCUUCGCAGCAGUAGUGGCGUAUCGUCUCAUCUCGAUGUCUUAGAGUCGUUAGCUUUAUAUCUUGUCUAACAAAAAUAUGACAAACAGAAGCAUGUUCUGGAACUUAUUGUUGGAUGGUGGUUAAUUUUGGUUGCGGUGGUUUAUGAACCUGAUCCUUGUUGCUGUGUGCGUGGUCGAGAACCUUUUUGUUGCAGUUUGCCUUCGUAAAGUUACUGGUGACAAGUUGGGAAAGUUUCUUCAUGAAUCAUGUUUUGCUCUAGAACCUAAGUUUGCUGAAGAAAGAUGCAUGUGAUUGUGUCUGUCAAAAUGUCUAGGUCCUGAUUUGUCUGCUGUAAGAGCACGACUGUUGGUCGCUGGUUGCACACCCUAGACCAGUCCACACGUUUUAUAUGAAUGAGACCUCUGCAAGAUAUCUGAAAUUUAUGUGCACCUCGCUGCUUGCUAGAGGCUUUGGUUUUGAACACUCAUAAGUUACUGGUUUAAAUCUGUUGAUUUUGCAACACCUCACUUGCUUUCACCUGUUCAAAGCAACAAACAAAAUUGGAGGAUUUAUCUGUGUUUUUUCUUGAUUUUAUUUCUGUAGUCCUGUAAGAACAUGGAGAAAUGUUUUCACAACACAUUCAGGUUGUGCAACUUCUCUUUGGGUGCAGAAACUAUCUUCCAUUGUAAAGAAGAAGAAUCCAUCCAGAUAAGUUUGCUGAAGAAAGAUGCAUGUGAUUGUGUCUGUCAAAAUGUCCAGGUCCUGAUUAAUAUCCCUCAUCGAUUACGUAAUGAGAUUGAUUAAAAUGAUGAAGGGUAAAGCCUAUGAGACAAUUUCCAUGUACUGUGACCCAGCUUCCUUCGUAACCUGUGGUCGGUUCUACACCUGAAAACAAGAAUUGGACUGAGCAAUGUACUCUGUGUAGUGUAACAUGUAUCUGCUCGAAACAUCAGGUAUUUGCCAAUAGUAGUAGCUGAUGCGCACAUUUAUGAUACCCUCAACGUCUAUCACCGGAACUGGAAGCUUGAUGAAAAGAUUUAGUGAUGUAAUCUGUAAUGAAGUGCCUCGGCAGCUUUUGAGUUUGUAUCUCCUGAUGUAACAGACUUGGUUUUUCCCUCUUCUAUAAUGAAUUGGCAGAACACCUGCCUUAGCCCGUCAAAAAAAAAAAUCUCCUCUUCAGUUAAUCAGUGUGGAAACGGUCCGUGCCAAGUGCAGAUCUCCUCUUGCAGCACUCAUACUCAUACAUCAGUGGCCCUGAAUAUUCAGGUAUGUGUUUGAUCAGUGGCAGAUGUCCUUUUGGAUCUAUAACGGCUAGUGCUGUUCACUAGUUGGUCGAUAACAUCUGUUUUAUCCUGGUGACUGACCGAUAAUCUUUUGGUCCAGCCUUGAAAAGUCGGAGCAAAACUGGGCCUCCAAGAUGAUCAUUAUUGAUCAGAAGGCUGGUUAAUUUGUGAGGUAAGGCUUGCAGUCAAUUGUACCUCCGACUUCCGACUUUACUUUCAUAAAUAAAAUGGAAUAAACUGUCAUGAUUUUCUAGGCUACCAUGCAGGAAACCGAUUAGGAUUAACAUGGACAGACAGAAACAUAUAGCUGGAUGAUUAAUCUGUAUUUUUAACUCAUCGCAACAACAUUUUUUGUUGUUCGGUAUGUAUGCUGCAUAUAGUUGCAGUUUUAGGACCCUACUGCUGAAUCUGUAUGGUGCACAGCUUUACUAUGCUAAAUUGUUCCAAAAUGUAAAAUAGCAAGUUUGCAGUGACGUCUGUUAAUAUCUUCUAUGCCCUGUAUAGAUUCAGUGAGGCUUGUCUCAUUUUGAAAGCAUGUUAACAUAUCUUGUUCAUUCAUUUUCAGCCUUCGAUUUUCCGCCAUUCCCUGAGACAAGUCACCUGGUGUUUUGGGUGGAUCUGUGGCGCUGAGUUCGUCUGAUCUAUGGUAGCCAUACUAGAAUCUUUGCUUGGGUCAUGUGCCAAGAAGCUGCAAGAAAUAGUUACUAAUGAGGCCAAACUAAUCCUUGUGGUGGAAGAAAAGCUCGAAGAACUGCUGCGACGAGUAGAACUAAUACAGCGUUGUAUUGCUGAUGCUGAGAAACAGAGGACAAAAGAUCUUUCAGUGAACACUUGGCUUGGUCAACUGAGAGAUGUUAUCUAUGAUGUUGAUGAGCUCUUGGACGUGGCUACUGCCUGACCAUCCUUCAUCAUCAUCAAGCAAAUCAGCUGCAUGUAAAACCUUUCAGUUUCUUCUUGCUUUUGUAACAUCGGGCCACGUCGUGAUGUUGCUGUUCUCAACAAGAUAGAAAACAUUUUGAAGGACAAGAUAUUUUUAACAUUCAACAGUAGUACACACAACCUACUGGAAGUUGUCCGACAUCCAAACUGAUAGGACGUUCCAACCUUGUUGAGCCCAACCUUGUCGGAAACGAGAUCAGACAUUCCAGCAGAAAGUUGGUGGACUUGGUGCUUGCACACAAGGAAAAUAAGUCCUACAAGCUUGCUAUUGUUGGAACUGUAGGAGUUGACAAGACAACACUAGCUCAGAAAAUAUACAAUGGCCAAAACAUAAAAGGAAGCUUCAACAUAUCACUACACCACGUAUCAAGUUCAGAGGCAUUCUGAAAAGCCUAAAAAAGGGUGCAAAAUGCCUUCAAAAGUCUUUGGAGGCUUUAUAAAAAAUGACAAGAAGUUGGGGAAGGGAAUGUCAUUUAAGGCAUUUUAAAAAAAAGCCUCCAAAGAUAAAUAAUCAAGGCGUUCUUAAAAAAGCCUUCGAUUACUAAGUGUGGCAAUCCUGAUAAUGACUCCAAAUGGCAAAUUGAGGCUUUAAAAAGAAAAACAGUGCCCGAAGGCACCAGCGUGCGUGACCUUUGCUAUCCAGUGACUCGUUAACGGCCGGAUUACUCGUAUCUCUUUUCUUUUCUAGGGAUAUAUAUGAUUAUUAUUAUUAACUAUUUAACUCAAUGUGCUUAGGUUAAUAGGAGCAUGGGUGUUUCUACCCCGUGUCCAAUAGAAUUCAAAACUAUUUGUUUAAAAUGAUAGGAUUGAAUAAUGAUGCUUUUGUGCAAAUGACCAAACCCCUCCUUGCCAAAUACUGCAUGUACUUGAUAGGUUCUGUUAUAACUCUUUGGUGAACUUACCAAUACAUUCAAUAUAUUGACCCCCCAGUGGCUGCGACGUUUAAAUGUUGCAGGUGAAGAGUGAGGUACAAAUUGUUAGGGUUGCGAGUUUACAUUUCAACAUGUUUCGACUGUGGAGUUGUUAUGGGACUCCUGUAUCUUCUUCCGCUGCAAGAUUUUAUUUUCUUCUGAGCUAACCCAUGUGGUUAUGCAAUAUGUAAGGUAUUAUUAAAUUAUGGAUCAAUGUGAUGUAAUAUACUUUUGACCUUUGUAUCUUGAUAUUACACCUUAAAACUGUGUGUGCUAACGAGUCGAUCCAGAGACUAGCACUGUAAGCACAGAUAUCGAACUCUAGUAAGGGGGAUGAUACUGUGCUAGUGCUUUUCAGUUUUCGCCAUGGAUGGAUGUAGCCCUUGGUUUGCUGGUUUGUUUUUCUUGAAUUCUCAACCUGUUCAUAUAUAGUAGCUAGAAAUUCAGACACGACUGGGGAAAUGCAGUAGCUAGAGGCCUAGAGGGUACUCUGAUGAUUGAGAGCACUUGGAGAAUGAUUUGGGGACAUUGAGGUUUCGUUUCCAUUUCAUCCUCGUGAGCGUAGAGUUCCAAGUUCUGCUGAGGCAUGGACUCGCCAUCUUGGCUCCACCAUCGAUCCGAAAUUACCACGCUACCCUUAUAGCCUGGUAUUUCACCUCGUUCGCUCGCAUGGAUGCGAUGGUACCGCAGGGCAACCUACCAUCGGCAUCUAAUGCUCUACAUCUAAAAUAGCAAAAACCAAAAGAGAUACAAAUGAAAAAGGUGUGCAGCAUGCUGUCCCGGCCGGUACAGUAUGAAGGAAGGCCACCAGAGGUAUGGCCAAAGACCCAUUGGUGGUGGUAUGUGAUCCUCUACGUUACCAAUUUCCUAUGAAUUCCCUGAUUUCCCACUGCCUCCUUUUCCUACAUAGACUUAUGUAGGACUAAAGUCAUGCGAUCUCAUACAUACGUACUGUAGUUCUUUGGAUCGAUAUAUUUAACUAUGGAAUACUCUUGACUCUAUUUAUAUAAACAUAACCACAAGUUGCAUAUGACCGGCACAAGCGAACCCCAGCAGGUCCAAUUAAUAGGCUGGCAUAUAUAUGGUCGGUAAGUAGGUUGCAAUGCAUGUGCUUGCAUCCGAACAGACAGGAGUGGAACAGACAUCAAAUUGAUGUCACCACAUCUUAGUCAUGCACACGUAGUGUUCAAACAAAUUCACAUUCUGGAAUUAAUCUACUUCUCCAAAGAUCCCCAAUUUUCCUUGGCUAGCUAGCUAGCCUUUUUCUCAGAAGCAACUAGCUUGGUCCUACUUUUACUUAAUUGCACCUGAACCAAUUGUAUUUUUAAUCUCCAUUAAUUUGUAUGUUCACAACUUUUUGUGGAGAUCAUGCUAACUUCACUUGGACAUACGUUUAAAAUAAACAUCUUGCAAGUGAUGGACCACUUUGAGAUAUUUUUGUGAUGGAGUGAACACUAUGUUGAUUGGGGGUGGAUGGGAAUUAUCACUUAACAAGAAAGGUAUUAAAUAAUUAAUUUGGUGAAGAAAAGGAGCUAUAAUUGAUUGGGGGUGGAUGGAAAUUGAGCAGCUGUUGCAUACAUGUGUUUGGGGUGAAAUCACUCCGUUCAACAUAAAGGUGCUCGGACGACAUACGUGCAUAUCAAUUGAGUGAACAUGAAAGCAUAGGAAACAAUCGAUGCUUCUCAAUACGAUGGCGUAGCUGGACUUUCAGCCACCGUUUGAGAGCCAGGUGGCGCACCAAGAUGGAAUAUUAUCACUGAUGAGAAAAUAUGGAACUCCGACGAUCUCCACGCCUACAUGGUUUUCUGCCAUUUCCAUAUGUCUCCUUUUCCUACAAAUACAUAUAGACUCAUGUAUGUGCAUACAUACAGUUCAUUCAUCCGAUCUCAUAUAUAUACGUAUAUAUGUACGGUUGUUGUUGCUACUGUACACAUUUACGGUUGCGUACUAACUUGGAUCGGACCUGUAUAUGUCUUCUUCUGCUUUUGUUGCUAUAGCCAACAUAUAUAUAGCUAGCUUGUGGAGAAACGCUACUUUUGAAAAAACCGGAAUCGGAGCCCUUCGCAGUCUGUUUAGUGCACUGGACCGGACGGGCCACCGGACCGUAAAAAACCUGCUGAACCGGCGGUUGGACCGGAAAAACCGGAACCGAAAGCCUUGCCGGUUUGAUCACCUGUUCCGUUUUCAAAACUAGGGGAGAAAUUCUUGGUGCGGUGGUGGAGUUGUGGUUGCAUGACUGCACCCAGCAGAAUUUAAAUCGUGAUGCUCGCAAAUAUGCUGUAGGGCUUCCCUUACCGUCUUUCAUAAAAAAAAAAGCUAUCUUGGGUACUACUCGAUCCGUAGUACAUGCUAGGAAUGGUGUUAACAUGAUUCAUAAAAAGAAGUCGUACGUCGUCCUUCUAACUUAUAAAAUGAAUAAAUUAUUUGCGGUCCCUUAUUUGUAAGAGACACUUGGCGGGUUUUUUAACGCAAGAGAGACACUUCUAGUUGAUUAUGUACGUUAUGGCUAUGGCUGGUUCGGUUUUCAAUGCUUCGAGUCACAGCCCAUCUGGAGCGUGUAAGAAAUACAAAAGCUCCAUCAUAUUCGGCCCAUCUCGCGGAAGAAAGUGGACUGGGCCGCGGCCCAGCCCAGCUCGAUUGGAGCCCGAAGUACACAAACACCGCCAACGCCGAGGCCUGAAGAGGCCUGUUCUUCAUCUUCCCCGGUCCCGAUCUAGCAUAUCAAAUCAGGACGAGCCGCCGCAGAGAGCGGGCUAGCUGUUUGGGUCUCUAUGGUGAAAGAUCUUGUGAUGAAACAUGUUUUGGCAGGUCAAUACGCUGCAUGUGCGUGCCAAGGCGUGGACUCGUCGUCACCAUCUUGACGCCACCAUCGAUUCAAAAUUACCACGCUACAUAUAAUUUUCUACAUCAAAAAUAGCAAAAACCAAAAGAGAUACAAACGAAAAAAUAGUGCAGCAUGCUAUCCCGGCCGUUACAAUAUGAGGGAGUGCCACCCAGGUAUGGCCAAAAACCCAUUGGCGGUGGUAUGUGAUCAUCUAUGCUACCAAUUUCCUCUGAAAUCCCUGAUUUCCCACUGCCUCCUUCUCCUACAUAUAAUUGCGCACAACUGAAGGCAUGUGACCUUAUACAUACGUACUGUAGUUUUCUUUUGGAUCGAUAUAUUUGGCUAUAUUUAUAUAUAUAAUAUAACCACAAGUUGCAUAUGGCCGGCACAAGCGAUCCAGGUCCAAUUAAUAUACUUACUGAUAGGCUGGCAUAUGGUUGGUAAGUAGGUUGCAAUGCAUGUGCUUGUAUCCAAGUGGAUAGGAGUGGAACAGACAUCAAAUUGAUGUCACCACACACCAUGUCUUGGUCAACAAAUUCACCUUCUGAAAAUAAUCUGCUCCUCCAAUGAUCCUCAAUUUUCCUUGGCUAGCAUUUUUCUCAGAAGCAAACUAGCUCGGUCCUAAUUUACUUAAUUGCACCUAAACCAAUUGUAUUUUUUUAAUCUCCAUUAGUUUGUAUGUUCACAACUUUUGUGGAGAGGGUACGGUAGUUAAAUACUAAGACAUGUCUCCAGUGUGGAUAGAUCGGGUCCUGCAAUCAUGGUGACUUCACUUGGACAUAUGUGGAAAAUAAACAUGUUGCAAGUGCUGGACCACUUUGAUCUUUUUUUUCUGUAAUAAAGAGAGUCAGUGAGUCACUCGUCGUUGAUUCUGUACAUUACGGCUCUUUGCGUGGUUUGGUUUUCAACACUUCGAGUCACAGCCCAUCUGGAGCAUGGAGGAAAUACAAAAGCUCCAUUCGGCCCAGAUAGCGGAAAAAGGUGGACUGGGCCGCGGGCCGGCCCAGUUCGAGUCGAGCCCGAGACGCCACGGGAGGAUGAGGCGCAUCGCCAUCUCUGAAGAAGAGACGCCCAAUGGCCACCGUCAAGCCAAGCGGCGGCAGCGGCAGACGAGGGAAUCAGUGCUCGAUGAGCCUUCUGUGAGAACAUACAGUUUCGAUCGAAUUCCCAUUGCCUCCUUUUCCUAAAUGCCACUGUGUCACACUUGCACAUACAGUUGAGAGACACACAUGCAUGCAACAUUAUUUUUACAUACAGUUGAUCGAUGUUGGCUGUAUAAACUUAUAUAGGCCACACAUUGCACAUGCAUGAUGCAUGGCCGGUAUGAGAGAAAGCAGCUCCAAUUAAUUGAAAUGUAUUUAUUACUGGCUUGGCUUGCAGUUGGCACGAAGAUAUAUACAGUGGAAUUUUCUCGCUGGUGAUCGUCUGGACAGGAUCCCCUCCUCCCUGUCCUCGCUCUCGUGGUGCGCCUAGCGCUGGUGGACGGUACAAACAAAUGAAAGAAAGGUGCGUCACACUAUUUGGGAUGGUACGUUAAGGAGCAAAGUGACUGAGUCGCACGGAAAAAGGCAAUGGUACAUGUUGCCCUGUCCUAGCCAAUUGCUCUGAAUUCCCCUGUUUCCUGCUGCCUCCUUUUCCUAGAUACACCUAUAUGCACGAUUUUUCUACACGCAUACAGUUUAUGCAUAUAUUUAAGUUGUGUUUUAGAUAUAUUUGGUUGUAUAUAUCAACUUAUAUGUUUAGCCUUCUCGCAAAACAAAACAUAUAUAGAUAGCCGCGCAUUGUCUCAUUGCAUAGGCCAGAAGGUACGAGAGAACAGAGAAAGCUCCAAUUAAUGUACUAUUGUUUACUAGCGCGGCUUGGCAUGGAGGAGGUUUCAAUGCAAGUCUUGUUAAUUAACAGAGAAAAAUAGUUUUCUGUCCUUCAGCUUUUAAAAGUGCACGCGGUCCUUCCUUCAACUUUCAAAAUCGGACGGACCAAAAAUGGGUUUUUUUUGUCCAUGUGGCAUGGUUUCUCCCCAAACCCACCACUGUGGAUGGUUCUCUAUCCCACCAUACUCGCCGACGGGCAUGAAGCCGCCGCUGCAUCCGAAGAGGGUGUCCUUGGACCCGUCGGUUUCCUAUCCCAUCUGCCUUGAGAUUGCGAACACGUCAUCUCUGUCGUCCAUCAUUUCAGGUCUAAAAAACAUUCAAGAUGACGGGUUCCAACUUUAUUGAAACCAUAGAUAGAUAGGUAAGUUCAGAGUAUUCAUUGUGCCGAAGUUACAGAAAAGAAGCACGCGACUUUACAGCUCAAGUAAAACGAUCGACGAGCAUCAAAUGGUGGAGCCCGAGCAAACACUGAACUCUUUUCCAGCACCUUGUGCACUGUGCAGCUUGGCCGAACUACUAACUCCCUUGAGGCCGAACUGGGCCUGGGCUCCACAGUCCUGGACAUGGUGUUGUGCAAGGAAGUAGAUAUUGGGCCAGCCCAAUAACUAGUUCGGCAACCUCUCUUCUCAUCGUUGCAGUUGUGCCCCUCGUUCGGUUUCAGAGUCGGUUUCCGUUCCGAGUUCCGACUAGUCAAAUUCUAUUCGCUCAAAAAAAAAAACUAGUCAAAUUCUAUUUAUUCCCAAAAGCGAUCUUGACCUCGAAUCCUCGAUCCUCAAAACAUGGCGCCGCUCGCCACCGAUUCCGUCCCCCGCUCCUCGCUGACCACGGUUCGCUCCGGCGGCGGCUUCCCGGAGCGGGUCUUGCUCGACAAGACGGGCCGCAUCGCCGCCGACCGGAACGCGACGACCGCGGAGGCCGAGACGAGCGAGGGGCGACCCGUGGCCGUCUCCUUCUGGCUCGUCGACGCGCCGGAGAUCUCCUCCUUCUCCGUCGACUGCCCCGGCCUCCCGGAGAAAGACUACCACCACGGCCUCCCGCCCUUCAUCAUCUGCGCCGAGGGGCGCUUCGUCCUCUUCUGCGUCGUCCUCAACGUCCCUCGCUGGAAGUCCUUCCACCUCUUCCUCUACACGGCUUCUUCUUCAGAGGAGCCGUCGCUGCACCUGCUCCCGGAACCUGCCGACUGCGUGGUUGAGCGCUUCGAGUACCAGAAUUUCGCCAUCUUGCCCUCCUCCGGCGGCGCCGACCGCCGGCGGGACUAUGCCGUGGCGUUCCUCGAUUGGAAGUGGAAUCCCCAUGAUAAUCCUUGCCCGCAGUAUUACGUCAACGUCUUCUCGUCCGAGACACGGUCGUGGACCAGGAGGAAGGCUCUGUUGGAUGUGCCGGAGUCUGAGAAGGCCCUUCUCCAAUUACAUGAGAUCACCAAGCAGAUCGCUGUCGGAACGAGUUCAUUGGCCUGGGUUGAUCUUGUGCGUGGCAUUAUCCUCCUCUCCGACCUGUUUGAGCAGCAGCCCGUCGUCAGACACAUCCCGUUCCCGGCGUCGAGGUUUUGCUUCGCUGAUACGGAUGAUGAUGGUCUCGAUUCCAAAAUUUCUGUCGAGUACUUUCGCGACGUCGCCUGCUGCGACGGUCUGAUCAAGUUUGUGGAGAUAGACUUCGAUGAUUACCCUGACUGCAGAAGCAAUGGCAGCGCUUGGAAAGCCACCACCUGGAACAUGGAGGUCUCUUGGAACGGUUGGCGCAAGCGUUGCACGGUUGAUGUCGACGGAAUCUCGGUUGACUCGAGCUAUUCGGCUAUUUUGCCCAUGCUGUCGGAUGAACACAGCGAGCAGCUGAAACUGAAGAAUCUUAUCUUCCUUGUCCCCACCCUGAGCAUGCAAGAUGAUGAUCUUCUUUACAUCAUGGCUAAGGUGGAUUAUGAAGACGACACAGCCUGGGUCAUUGCUGUUGACAUGAAACAUGCGUCUGUGGAGGCAUUAGCCCUGGUUACUGAACCGUCCUACUCUUCUCCGAUGUACUAUCCAUGCGCCUUCCCCAAGUAUCUCAGCGACAUGACACCAGGAACACCUAAGGAUUAUGAGAAGCCAGGCUACACAAACGAUUACAAAUUGCUCGGCUUGCCUCAGGCUAAGCUGCUCCCCCGCAACAAGAAGUCAGCAGGCCACGCAGAGCAAAAGUCUCACAAGAGGAAGCAAGAGAGAUUUGACAACCCCAGUAGCUCUCAUGGGGAUAAUAAGCAGGAGCUGGCACUGGGCGGGACUUGGAGCUCUAGAUGCCAACGACUAGCUGUGGUUCUACUGGAGCUGGAUCACCGGUGGGUGUACUUUGUUUGCUGGCUAGUACUGCCGAUGCUUUACAUCAUCUUCGGCUUAGUAAUACCGUUCAUUGCAAAGCUAAUUUGACUGCAAAUAUUGCUCCUGUCCCAACUAUAUGUAUGUAAAAAACAAGAGCAUACUAGUAUGAACUGCAGUAGUGGCUUGUUGUUAGAAGGUUCUUUUUAUGAAUCAUAUUUGGAGAUGGCACUAACAACAAUAUCUAUAGUUAAACCGCCUAUUUUCCCUUGAUGUAUUUAUUCUUAGCCUAUAUUGUAGUUGUUGGUUACUUCAGCAAAAAUAGUCUAAUUUCCGUUAUCCAUUAUGGCGUGUGUUAUGUUUCGUUAGGCUGCAUCACGCAAAUACAUUUCUCACGUCUCAUUAUAUUUGUACUUCUGGAAAAUGAAAACAUUUUAUCUCAAUUCUGAAGAUUAGUUGCGACUUUCUGAAGAGUUCUCUUAAGUUUAUACUUUCUCUGUUUUGUUCCCCAUGUGACUGAAAUUUUCUGGGCUGUUCUUAAGCAUCACGAUUGAUUGUGGGAAUGCAACUUUUUAAACUAGCUUUUGUCUAGUUUGUACCAUGCAUCUGGCUAAUCGAUUUUUAUGACUAUUUUCUGCAAGAGAUUAUAAAAUAAAAUAACAACACAUUGUUAUUUGUAUUUCAAUGCCAGUUAUUUCUGUAAACUAGUAGACAACUAUAUGACCACCGAGAAAUUAAUCAUCCUGUGUUGGAUGCUUAUCUUCCAUCUAUAUGGCCCUUCGCACUAAUUUGUAGCAGCAAUAAGAUUGUCUUCUGCAGAAAUAUAGACAUGCUUAUCUUUUAGGAAAAGAUAAUUGUUAAUUGUUAUACUAUUUGAGCAGUUGGAUAGGAAGCAAACAAAUUUAAUUACAGAGAGGCAAUCAUAGUUUCACAAAUAGGCAUUGCCAGCUGUCGAGACUCUAUAGGCUGACGUUAUCCCAGUGUGCGGAAACUGUCAAGUCUCCCAGAUGCUACGAUACGUGUCCUCGAACAAUUACGGCCAUCGAUCGACAUCCAAGCCCAAGGCACAUAGUCGUGCCGUGAGAAAAAAAAACUGCAGUUCCUGUCCGUCGAGAUGCCCAAAAGACAUGCUUUAAUUCACUUGUGAAACUGUAUGUGUUCCAAUCAGAACUAGCAGAUGAUGACCUCGUUAUCUAUUAGCUUGUAUGAUAGAUAAGGGUGCAAACGGGAUCCCGCGAAAGUCCCGCUUCUAGUUCAAUUCUCAAAUCUCUUAUUCAAUUUCUGAACAAAAUUUUGAAUAAAAGAUUUUUAGGCAUAGAUUCAAGGUAGAUGUUUGUAUGUUCAGCGAUAGUGCUCAACAGUCAACACCCUCCAUCUAUUCCGGCUGCUGGUUUUGUAUUCAGUAUUGAAGGUGGAUCAGAGUAUACCUGUAGUAACAAAUCAUCCUGAAGAAAGAGGCCCUGUACGUAGCUGAACAUGUCACGUGCAGAACAUCUGGGCGCAGAUGACUGAAGAAUGAAGCUCGGCUAACACUAUUUGAAUGGGUUCUCUGUUAGCUUUGUUCACAGCAAUUCUUUCUUUGAAUGAGUUUGAAUGUCCAUGACUUCAGAGCCAUUAUUCAGAUAGCGCAAUUGUUUAUUUGUUAGUUUUGUUGCUUCAGAGUUUUAAUGAAUAUAGCUAGCAGUGCAAAUGCUAGCUACACUUCUACAACACAGGUGGCGCAUUGCCUGUAUUUUUAGAGUUUUGAUUGACAACAUGAGUGAGCAGAUGGAGAGGUUCAUGCUCUUUACCUUUGAAUUCACUGAGACUAGUGGUACGAUAUUUACCUCUCCUAUAUGAUCAUUUUUUUACAUUGUGUACAGUGUGUUGUGGUUGAAAACGAAUCCCUGUUUUUUUUUAUGAUUGAAAGAUGCUGAAGGAAAAGUCAAUAGAUGGCUACAUUCUGUCCAAUCCAGUGAUAAGAAGACAUAACAUAACCAGGGGCAAUGAGGUGUUCAUUUGCACCCAGGAGGGGCUACGGCUUUGGGCACUCCCAGUCCUGCCCAAUGUAACACUCUGCUCAGUGCUCACCGGCUUCUCCGUUGAUAGACCGGAUGCAUGGAAUUUCUGUUGCCUCCCAAACCUAGAUUCUACCAGGGUCUUAUACACGAUCAAUUAGUUUUUCUGUAUGCUAUAGUGCAGCUACACUUCUACAGCACAGGUGGCGCAUUGGUGUUCUACUCUCUAUUAUAAUUGUUCCGCACCUUGAGGGUUAAUCCUGACAAGACAAAUGGGAGAAUAACAAGGUCGUCUGAUAUAUAUAGUGUGAGACAUCGAUGAAUGAAAUGGGAGAGUUAUGUGUUAUGUGCAACUACCAUGAGUGAAGUGGUUUAUUAAUUGGAUCUCGAUCUCAUCAGUGUGUUCUCUUGCUACUGCACCUACCACUUUGCAGGUAUUCUUGGGCAUGUGAGGGAAUGAAGUGGUUAAUUCUGGUGUUUGCGGAUGCCCAAUAUAUACGCAGUAGUCUAAGAGAGGAGUGGAACGUUUAUUAUGGAUGAUAUGUCUCAUUAACUAUUAAUUCCCCUUUGCCAAUACCAAUAUGAUGAUGGCCGUUGCUGGACGGCGGAUCGUCUCCAGCCGCGUGGGUUGAAUCAUCCAGGUCGUUGUCCGCUCUGCGACCAAGUUCCUGAGGAUAUCUCCCACUUGUUGGUUGGUUGUUCUGUGCAUGGGGAGGUUUGGUGGCAGGUGCUUAGAGGCUGGGACAAGCUUGAUUGUCUGCCGGAGCUGAGAGAUAGCUUCGUCAACUGGUGGUCCUCCAUCCCUUUGAUCGGCAAUGAUCGCAAACAAUUCGCUACUAGUAAUGCUCUCAUCUUUUGGUCCAUUUGGAAGGAGAGAAACAAGGUGGUCUUUGACGGAGCCACAACGAAUAGAGCUAGCAUUAUACAUGCGAUUAGUCUUGUCUUGAGGCGGUCUCUUGGUGGCAGGCUAAGCUCAUUAGUGGAGUUGGGUUUGGUUGUAUCCCGGAUGCGUUCGAGUGGAGAACAAUGGUUAGUUUCUUUAUGUAAACUCAGCCCGUAAUGGGCUUUUAGCUGCUCCGCAGCUUCUCCUUCUUUAAUUGAUGAUACACCAGGUUUAGUGUAUUUAGAAAAAAAAUACCAAUAUGAUAGGAUUCCGUACAUGUGAGUGGUAACAUGACUCCGGACAUAUCUUGCUCUCUGGCUCUCUGCUUCAAAUUAAGCUGAGCCUUGUGAAACCGGUAUAGACAGCCAGGUCUUUCACAGUAGUAACAUGUGAACAUGAGCCUUCCAUCGCGUUGAUCCAAAGCCUCAGAUCUAUUGAUAUUGGAAACACAAAGAACAGUAUUAAUAUUUUUUUUGUCAAAAGGUUAAAAUGGGUAAGGUGGCAAAAAAAAAUCCCGCACGCCCAGGGCCUAAUUCAGAGGAAUUUUGUGGUAAGUGCUGUGGUCCGGAUCAAUCCAUUUUCUAUCCCCUCGUCUGCAGGGCUAUCUCGGCCUCUCGGGAGAAGAAAGUCGCGGUGGGCAGCGUCAAGCCGAGCGGCGGCAGGGCCGGAUGAGGGAAUUAGUUCUUGAUGUGCCUUCGGUAAGGAGAUCUGGAGAGAUACAGUUUCAAUCGAAUUACCAUUGCCUCCUUUUCCUAUAAUUAUAAUUAUACACCUGAAUGGCACUUUUACACAUACAUGCAGUUCAGGGACACAUGCAACCAUAUUUUUACAUACAGUUGAUCGAUAUUGUUGGCUAUAUAUAUAGGCCACACAUUGCUCAGGCAUACAUGGCCGGUACGAGAAAACCAGCUCAAGUUGAAAUGUACUACCUGAAUUUAUUAUUGGCUUGGCAUGCAGUUGGUAUGUUCAAUCUGCUCACAACCUGAAUUUGCUUCCACGUGUGUCUAGGUGCAUCGACAAGCUGAUGCAUACAUGGAAAAUUCUAUCUAUCGCAGGAAAUUCAUGUAAAAUCGUAAAGAUCCGAAGAAGAACAGAUGGAAAAAGGGCGCAGCAUGCUCAGGGCCGGUCCCACUGUCUUAGAACAUAAUAAGUGUCUCAAAUUUUGUACUAAUUUAAUACAAAAUUGUACUAGAUCUGAGACAUUUAUUAUGGAUCGAAGUGAGUAUCAAAAAAAUAGAGGUGUCACACGCUAUGCAUACGUAAAACAUAUCAAAUAAAGUGAUUCUAGAUUCGAUGUCCGGUGCAACACUCUAGCAACGGCCCUGAGCACGCUAUUUGAGCAUGUAAAUUCAGCAGCAAUGACACUGAGGUAUGGGAAAGAACCAAGCAGCUAGCCAAUUGUUCUGAAUUCCCCCGUUUCCUGCUACCUCCUUUUCCGAUAUAUACCUACGUACGAUUUGUUGUAUGGCUUGUAUGCACGUACAGUUCGUGCUUAUAUGUAAGCUGUGCUUUGGAUAUAUUUGGCUAUAUAUAUAGCCACACAUUGUAAUGUUGCAUACGAGAGAAUUACUGGCUCCAAUUAAUGUACUCUUCUGAUCCUAAAUUCUUGACUCAAAUUUGUCAAAAUAUGAAUGUAUCUAUUCUUAAAAAACGUCUAGAUACAUAUAAUAUUUCGACAAUAAUUUAGAAUCGGAUGGAGUAUUUACUAGCGGCUUGGCAUGCAGUUGGUAUGUAAGGUUCAAGCGGUACUCCCUCCUUCCAUCCAAAAAUAUAAAGCUACUCCGUAUUAUUGAAACGUAGGCCUACAUUACCAACUGUAUGCCAAGCUGCUAGUAGAUAGAUCGGACUAAUAUGGGGAAGGGUCCUUAAGCUUCCUUCGAGGUCUCAUUGCUGAAUUCCCUUGUGGCAAAACAUCUUGCAAGUUCCAACACAUAUGUACAUAUAUCAGCUGAACCAUUAAUUUUCAUCUUUUACUCUGAGAUAUUCUGUGAUGGGGUAAACGCUGAUGUUAGCUAGGAGUGCUUAACGAAUCAUCUUAAUUAUCACUUACUGACUACGUAUUAGAAAAACCCGCAAAAAAACUACGUAUUAGAAAAGAAUAAAAUAAUUUGAUAAGAAAGAAACUAAUUAACCGGGGCAGAUGUAUUAAUUGCUUUACUCAGUUUUACUAGAGACCGCGACGCGCUCGUUCAUAUACCGCGGGCCUGGAUAUAUAGAACAAAUUUACAGCAACAGUAAUUGAAACAGAAACAACUUAAAUCUCCAAGAGACAAGAUUGCGCAGAGUAUGAUCAGGAGGGACUAAACCUCCAACAGAUGGAAUAAGGAACAUCUGAAAAUUCUACAUUUUGAAGCAUCAACCACAUGCAGCUUGACAAAUUGGGAAAGCUCAAUCUUCGAUCGAGCAGGCCAGUACAUUGAGAAGCAAUGUCACUGAGGUGCGACCGCAGAAGCCAAUCAGUGAUGGUCUGUACGUGUUCCUCUGUGCUUGGCAAUUUUUCUGGAUUCCCCCGUUUCCCGCUGCCUCCUUUUCCCAUGAAUGCAUGCAUAUGUACGAUUUUCCAUGCCUGCCCAUUGUCUCCCAAGCGUACCUUAUAUAUUGCUCCUCCGUUCUUAAAUUCUUGUCGUUUUAGUUCCUCAAUUUGAACUAACACCACGACAAGAAUUUAAGUACGGAGUGAGUAUUUACGAUCGGUGCCGAUGAUUAUUUUAUGUCAUUAACAAGAAAACAUAUCGGGUGAAACAUCUCGAUUCAGUUCAAAUUUGAAAACAGAUCCUGAUGUUAUGUACUGUCCGAACUUCUGGGUCCCCUCAAAAUAAGCCAUGCACAUACGUGCAUACAAGUGGGCAGACAUGCAACCAUAGCAAGGGAUGCCCGUCUGAACAAGCUAAUACCUAGGCCUUCUGACCCCUAUCCCCUCUCUCCCUCGAACGCCAACCCUGUCAGCCGAUCGACCCAUUCUCGCCCCGAUCCAUGUCUCGGCCCACCUCGCCCCCGAUCCGCCUCCCGAUCUCAAUCUCCCCCUACCGAAUCCCCCGUGCCAUCUCCCUGGUCACCACCGUCUCCUGAAUCCCCAACACCGCCACCAUCUCCUGAUCCCGCGCCCCAGGACGUCUGCGUACGUCGCUGUCCUCCGGCCACCCCAAGCUCUGCCGCCGCUUUGAUUUAAUUUGCUGCAGCCUUGAUUCACUCCGUGGCAGGCUCAAUUUGCCUUGCCCCGACUCCACUGUCAUCAUGGUCUCCUUUGCAGCCGCUGGAAGACGGACAGCCGAGGCACCGGGCGGAAGCGGUAGGGUGGCACGAGCACGCGGCAGGGGCACGCGGCGAGUGUAGGUGGAGGGCGGUGCGAGCACGCGGGCAGGGGCACGCCGCGAGUGCAGGUGGGCAAUGGCAUGGAGGUUGCAAGCAAAUGCUGCAGGGGCAUGGUAGGGUGGCGCGAGCACGCGGCAGGGGCACGCGGGCAGGGGCACGCCGCGAGCGCAGGUGGGCAAUGGCGAGCACGAGCAGAUGGGGUCGGGCGGGGUCCCGCGCAGGCGAGCAGUCAGGCGCAGAUAGGUAACGGGCGAUGGCAAUGGCAUGGAGAUUGCAAGCAAAUGCUGCCGAGAGAAGAAGAAAACAUGGAGUCACUGACAAAGGGGGUCCACGUGUCAUUAGGAUCUAAAGAAAAUACAUAUAAUAAAUUAUGGGAAAUCUGCUAUGGGCUUACUUUGACUCGGCAAGAGUUUGGAAGUAGCAACAGAGAAACAAAAGAAAACGGUCUAUACUUAUCCGAUACAAAAUUCCACAAGGUAGAUCAUUCACCGUUCAAACUCUUGCAAAGGAUUUUUAACUGCGGAGGUAGGCAUGUGUGCAUACACUAUUCUGUUUAAUUUUGUCAUUUGUUUGCUUGAAACAAUCAUACAUCUGUUAUUCACAUGUUGUGCUACAAAAUUGCACCAAAUAUACACCGACAUACCAAACCGAGUAACAUGUUGUCGGGACGCUUGAACCAAGGGAUCGAAUGAAAGAGAGAAAAAGAGAAGGAAGGUUGUUCCUACUUUCAUGACGUUGUGAUAUUUUAUUUUACUUUUUAUAUUUAUGUUUAUUUUUCGUAGCAACGCACGGGCUUUUGACUAAUAUAGUACACAUAUGAGUAUAUACGGUGAUAGUUGGCAACAUAUUUGCUGCCGGUAGCAUAUAUGUAGCUCGGACGCUGUAUAUAUAGCUACUUGUGAGCUAGAUAAACUAGGAAUGAUGGUGUGCUUGCCAUGUGCAAAUAUUAGGUCGCAAAAAGAACGUCAUUUAAAGUUCUAAUUAACUUGCCAGUAGUGCAGGCUGCAAGAAAGGUACCAGGGAGUACUAGCUAGUACGUAUAUUUAAAUUUAAAUAGAGCAGCAGCACCAUUAACAUCACAACAUCUACUGAAGACAAUGAGGAGAAAAAUCAAUGUUGUCAUUGGAGCUCUACACGGUACUCCACUACAGAACGGAAAUAUCUUUUCUCUACUUUAAAAUCAAAUGGAACCAUUUUUUCUCUCUCCCUGUGAAUCAUCUGGUUUGCUCUUGAACCUGAAUUUGAGUUGGCAUGGAUACAUCUGAUUGCAGGCCAGGUUCUAGUCAGAUUACACUUUUCAGUAUUUGUCCGUUCUCUUGAUUAAUAAGAAGAGCUGCAAAUAUACGUGGUGCUAAAAUCUACUUCCUCCAUUUUAUAAUUCUUGUCGAAAUCUUACAUGUAUUUAGACACUUUUUAGGAAUAGAUACAUCCAUUUUUGGACAAAUUUGAAACAAGAAUUGUGGAAUGGAGGGAGUAGAAAACAACCACAGUAUAGAACUUUCCGCAAUCUCGCAUGUAUGAAAAUAUCUGCUGAAACAUGCUCUUUGCAAGAGCAAGACCCUGCUUGUGGGUGGUGUGCGUCCUUGCGGAGCCGUGGACUCGCCGUCCGUCAACAUCUUGGCGCCACGAUCUAUCGAUCCUUGGUAUCCCCUCCUGCGGAUUCUCGCAGAAGCCCCAGCAAGGUGUAGUAGUGAGGCUCUCUAUGGUGGAGGAUUCGGCAAUGCAAUGGCUCUCGCAUGGUACUUCGGCUCGUUCGGUCGAAUAUAAGCGAUGGUACUUGCAGGGCAACCUAGCUACCAUCGGUGUCUGAUGCUCUGUCCAAAUUAGCAAAAACCGAGAGAGCAACAAAUGAAACCAGUGUGCAGCAUGCUACCAAGCCAGCACACCUGAGAAGGAAUCUGACUGGGACGUGGUAAAAGACCAAUCAGCGAUGCUGUGCGAUCCUCUGUUCCAGCCAUUUCCUCUGAAUUCCCCUAUUUCCCUCUGCCUCUUUUUCCUAUAUAUAUGUAUAUAUACCUGCGUACGACUGAACGCACAGACAGUUCAUGCAUAUGCGAUCUCAUAUGUACUUACAGUAGCUAUCAUUUGGAUCGAUAUAUUUGGCUAUGGCUAUAUAUAUAUAACCACGUAUUGAUUUGGCCGGUACAAGUGAACCAGCUCCAAUUAAUCUAUUUGCUCCUAGGCUGGCAUGUGGUUGGUAAGUAGGUUGCAAUACAUGUACUUGCCAAAAAAUUAGAUCAAACUUGCAACGGCGGAACAAAAUGAUUCUCCUUGGGUAAUAAAAGAAUAGAUAUAGGAGUGGAAAAGAUAUUGGUUCAUUUGCAUCCGAUUAUAAAGAACACCUUUUGUUACCACUUUACACAAGUAAAGCUAGCUGCAUUUGUGCUUUAACUGGAAAACCAAUUUCCACAGCCUGAGCAUGUACAGGCCGGUUCAAUAACCAAUCCACUAGUACUGCUUAGGAAUUAAAGAGAUUCUGUGCCAUAAUUCAACCCAUAGUUGCCAAACUGCAGAAGCGAUUGGUUUCAGAUACAACUAGUACUAUUUCAGAGGAUUCAGAGGAUCACGACGGUGUUCUUUCUUUCUAAUUUUGUUACUGUAAUCAUGCUCUGGCGUGAUGCUCGAUCUUCCCAUCACGCAAGGAAGUUACUACUAGACAUGAUACUGUCCAAUUAAGUUACUAUUUCAGAUCGACAUGCAGGAGUUUUGUACACGUACUGUUGCUCUGGGUUCAGCUGUGCUCGGCAUAUAUUGCACCGAACCUUAAUUCUCACGCUGCUCAUUUGAGUAGAUCCCACCUUGUAUCCUCUAAUUUCAAUUUCGUGACGCAAUUUAGCCUAUUUAGGGGACUUCUUUUUUUACAAAUUUACUUCAUUUAAGCAAACUUUUGACACUAAUUGUCACAUUCAGUAUUUAUUUCCUCACUUCCGACGAAUUACGACAUCAGGCGCACAAGUUCAGUCCCAGGCCGUGCAGUGGCUUGUGGCUGCGGUGAGGCAUUUCGUCGAGCAGCCAGCAGGCGUCGUCCAUGCGGCCGGACGACUCGUAGAAUCGCAAAGAUCGCCAGGACAGCAGAUGAAGAUCAUGCGCAUCACGCUAUUUGAGCCGGUACUUUCAGUAGCAAGGUGACUGAGGCACGGGACAAGGCCCCGCAGCGAUGGUACGUGUUGCCCUGUCCUAGCAAACUGCUCUGAAUUCCCCUGUUUCCUGCUGCCUCCUUUUCCUAUGCCAUGCAUACCUGUGUUCUAUUCUUUUUGCACCCAAACAGUUCAUGCAUAUUUGUAAGUUGUGCUUUAGAUAUGUUUGGCUAUAUAUAUAUAUAGCCACACACGUUGUAACAUACAGACGGUAUAUGAGGAAAUUAGUGGCUGCAAUUUAUUAUAUAUUAAAUGUACAUGACGGGGCAACAAAAAAGAUAGGAAUGCUAGAAAAUUUCAAAAAAAAGCAAAACAUCUGCCCAUUUGCUUCGCUAAUCGGACGACAAUGGACGCUUAGGAUCUUCCAUACGAUCCGUGUGGUGGUUGCCCCUCGUGCCUGGCCUCUUCCGACCUGAGUCUCCCCCUUUCCGAAGACCUUCCCAACCCCUUCCCCUUCCUGUUCCCUGUCUCUCUCCGACUCUCCCUGACUCACACCUCCGCCCCUGAUCGCCGCCACCCGCCAUAGGCGUCUCCCAGAAGAGUCAGCGCUCUUCCCCUGAGGCCCUGGCCCCCUGCUUCAUCUCUGUUGCCAAUCUAGACGAGUACCCCCCCCCCUCCCCCCCCACACCGCGGCGCCCAAUCCUUGGACCUAAUCCUCUCGCACCAUUACUCUGUUCAGAUCAAUCGGUGCAGAGCACGGACGAGGACGAAGGUGCGGAACACGACUUCGUCAGUCAUUGUUCCUCCUGAUGCCUCCCUGAUCCCUCCCAACAUUACUUGCAGCAGCCCCACUGGUGCUUUGCCCUCGCAUCGCAUCGUUUCUGUUCAGAUCGGUGCAGAAUGCACCUUCAUCGGAUCCGAUUGCUCGACCUCGCAGUCCUCUGCUGUCAACUUCUCCCUCAUACAACACAGUAUUCUUGAGGUAGACUUUCUUCCCAUGGUUAUGGCAGCAAAAUUUCAGAUUACCUUUUUUUUUUUAUCUCAAGUCAUGACCCGUGGAUUGUUGUUACAUGUUUCUGUAGAGAUAGUGUUGCAUUGUUGCAUUAUAUUAGCUGUUUCUGAUAACCAAAUCACCUGUCUUAAAACUAAAUUAACAAGUCACGGCCCCCGUCUACUCGGUGUUCUGGUGUGCUUUCGGUUUUCUUUCAAGCGGAGGAAGAAGAUGCAGGUUCGAAGUAGCAAUUAGAAUGUCAGUUUCAUCUAUAGUACUCUUUAUUUUAUAUACACAGUACACUACCAGUUCUCUUCCUUGCCUAUUUUUUUUGACCGAAAACUGUAGGGGAAACCCCUAUUAUUCUCUUCCUUGCCUAGAGACACGGCUACUAAAAGAUCUCAGAAUAAAACAGGCAGGUUUGUGCACUUUCUUCAUUGUGGUUAUGGCAUCUUCAAUUGUUAAGUUUUUUUUUUCUAGAACUAGCCCCGGCAAUUAAAUAAAGAUUUAAGGUGUAAGUCAUCUUUUCCACUUUCAAGUGAUUCCACUUGAGUCAUGCAUGUUACUAGGUUAUCAUAUUCUACCCCAACUACUCGACAACAUGUGAGCUAGCAUAAAAUGGAAAAGAUGUAAUUAACACCAAAAAAUUAUGACCUGCUCUUCUAUUGAUAUUUUAUUUGUGCUACCUGCUCUUCCAUUUAUGUUUUAUUUGUUCAGAAUAGAUUAUGAUAUUUAUAUAAGUACAGAUGGGUAAACGCUCUCAUGUAAUUGCAGUAUUAAUCUAUCAUUUAUUAUUAGUUGGCUAUACGUGUUGUGUGCCUAUGCAAUAUUUUUUGUUUGGUUUUUUUAGCUUCGGUUCCUUUGUCUGCUAAAACAGUGGGUAAUGGUAUGAUAGCACAUACAAGUGCUUAGGUGACUGUCAUGGUAUGUAAUACACAACACAUGACACCAUAGAAAGCGUAGCACAGAACUGAAACAAUUACUUAUUACCUCACCGUCAUGGUGGAUGCAAUGGACUUACAGGUUUUUACUAAUUUUUUAUAAAACACCUAUGUUAGCACCAAAAAUACACCUGACAUUUAGACCAACGCUCUUGACAAUCUACUUAACCGCAUAGAUUAGGUCAUCAGGCUCGCACAUGUGUGUGGUCCCCGUGCUAGAUUAAUUACAUCAAACAAUUGCUUUUAACUCCCACGCUUGAGAGCUCUCUUUAUUUGAAAAAAUACAUAUCAAGAGGUGCAUCUACAAGUUUCAAAUAUCUCCAAACAAUCUCUUUGUUGGGAACACACUAUGCAUUUGUACAUUUUCAUGAAAAUAUGCUUUCAUUUGCAGGGAACAGAAAAGUGGUGGUCUACAUCAGCAAAAAAAUGCAGCUAGCCAGCUACUAUGUAAUAUUCUAAAUCAUCAUAGUGUCAUAUUUGUGAAUCCCUUGAAACUUAUAAAUGCACUAUUUAAAUAAAAAUAAAAGGAUCGCUAGAGCUUAGGAGCCAAAAAAUCCUCUCAAGGCACACCACAUCUGGUAAAGCAUGUACGUUGGCUUUCUUCGUUGAUGUGUCAGGUUAUCUCUUUUUUCUGUCCUUCAAUCUUCCUAUACAAAGUUUCCUCGAAUGUUUGCUUUAUGUACAAAAGAAUCACUAGAAUUGUUUAACCAUAUCUGUCAACUGAUCGGACACUUUCUGUUUCUGUUAAGGAAGGGCUGACAUACAAAGUGUUGUGUGUAAUUGUGUAUAUGAGCAACUGUGUGCUUAGCUCCCAAGAUACAACACCACCAGAGGUAAAAACUGCAUCAUGUUUAUUAUCUGUAGGUGAAGUCAUGACUCAGAUUUAAUGUAUUGCAGAUAAAAGAAAUUGAAAACUUCAAAAGGCAACUCUGGGGUAAUUUGUCUUUCGUUUCGAAUUAUGCAUGAGUACACUCACAACAAUAAGUUCGGCUUCAUCAGAAGUUUUUCUUGAUACAAAAAACAUGUCGGGUUGAUAUAUACAUUAGUCAAGUUCUGCAGAUGCAAAAUAAAUUACUUUAGUUUAUACAGGAAAAUAGAAAUAAAGUGUUUUCUUUGAAGGCUACCAUUUCUUAUAGUUGCGCAUUCAAGUUUAAGCUCCGACGUAAGAUUUUGCUUCGGUUGGUAUCCCAAAGAAGAUCUAUUGAGCUGAGAAUGCCAUGUGUUGUUACACUUGAGGUUGCAAUCUAUUAUGUAUUGUGUAUUUCAUGCUUUACCUAGCUCUAUUGUGCAUUUCUUAUGUAUUUUUUAUUAUUAUAAAUGAACCCAAAACCGAGUACCUUUCACAUUCCUGCCUUUUUUCUGUAACUUCGAUUCUAUUGAUUAUAUAUGUUUGUUCAGAAGGUUAAUACCUUGCUCAAUGGAUUAUAUACAUAACAGAUGUAAAUAGUAUCCUGUUCUUAUUAAACUUGGCAACUUUAAUGAUAUUUGGCAAGAAUUUGCUUGCGACCUCCUACAAAACUACCCAUCCCUUUUUCCGGACAAGCUACUCAUUUCAUGAUUUGAGCAUAGAGAAUAGCAAUGAAGUUGUAUGUAUGUUCUAUACCACAGUUCAUGCGUUGUUUGAUGAAAUUGGCAAGUUUUUUUACUAGCACUUCUAAAAAAUGUUUCAGCAUAUGUGUCGGCAGCUUGGUUAAAGAUGAAGCUGGCCCAUUUUCCUGUAAUAGCAUUGAAAAUUAUAUAAUUCUUCUUGGGUUCAAUUUGCUUUUAUGUAAAAAUCAUGAUAUGGGUAAGCUUUAGCACUUGCUCCGCAUGUCUACAAAUAGUUUUUUAAUCUCUUUCGAGAGUUUACAAAUUAUUCAUAUCAUGGAAUUAGCACAAAAAACAUUCUUUAAGUGUUCCCUUUUAUAAGAUGUUUUUUUCAACCAUGCUUUGGAACUUAGCACGUUGGUUUGGUUUGUUCCCGGGGUAGACACUAAAUCAUUUGUUUACAUUCAUAAGGAAUUAUUUUACUUUGAUUUUGCCUUCUGGCUUGGAGAUUUAACAUGCAUUUUUCUUUCCGGUUACUUGGGAAGGCAAAAGGAUGAGUUGGAUGUUGUCAUGUCAAUUAUGAAUAUUUGCAUUCAAUCUUAAUGCUUUUUAAACUUCACAUUUAUAGCUAUAAUUAUUUACAGGUGAAUUGCAUGUAUAUGUGGUCAUCUUCAUUAUCUACUUGGUACAGAGGUAAUAUAUGAUCAUCUUCAUCAGGCACGGUUGCAAAGAACUCGCCAUGGUGUGAAAACUCACCAACUGGAUAGCAAGGGCGUAAGUACAACAGUACCUAUUGGCUACCAUUUUCUCUUUUUGCAAACAUAGAUGAUUGUGCAUUUAGAGUUGUGAAUUAGUUUGUCCAUGGAAACUGUUUUAUGCUAUCCAUGAUUUGUUGUAAGUCCAUUCCCUAGAUUUCUUUAUUCCUUUCGAAGUUGCAUGUACCAAAGAAUUUGUUGUAGAAAUUGGACGAAAAUAUUUUAAUCAAGUGCAUCUGCAAUUUCUUUGUAAAAGAAAACAAAGCUCUAAUUUUCCCUUGCUAUUAUUGCUCUUCCAAUUUAAACCGACCGCUGGCAAAUAGAUACGGUAUGUAUUUCUCUUCUAUUUAAAAGUUCUCAGGUGAGUCUGUCAAUGUCACUAAGAAAAUAGUUUUUUUACAUCGAAUUAAAAGAGAUUUUGAUGUGAAUGGUGUGCAGAUUAAACAACUGCGGAGCUACUUCUGUAGAUGACCAGUCACGUGAGAGUAGAAAGAAAUGUCAAUAAAGAGUGGAAAGAAUCAACCAUUUUUUCUUGAUUAUCAGGUUUAUUGAUUAAUUCAAAUCUUGAAGUUUUAAUCCAUUUUCCUGUAUGCCAAAAAGUACGAGGUCUGUUGUUUUCAAUUUAAAAUUGAAAUAAUGAGCACUAAAGGUACUGCCCUCGCAUUUGUGAGGGCCGCUGGACUAGUUAAUGUAAGAGGAAUUGUUUGGUUAGAAGGAAUUGAAUUUUAAGAGAGACCAACUUCCACCAUUUAAUAACAGUGGGAGAUGUGUGAAUUUGUAGAGAAUUGUUUCGUAGAAAUGAUCUCAACCGUUGAUCCCAUCCCGUACAAACAAGUGAUGAGACUAAAAAUCAAUUACCACAUCUAAUAUCCUUUAAACUCCCUCCUCUAAAUUUUCAGUCCUCUUUCCUGAUAUUGCCAGCCAAACAUGUUGUAUAUGUCUAUUUUGUUGACUAAUAGCUAGAUAAAUGUUGGCACGCUAAAAAAAUAAAAAUAUAAAUGAAUAUUGGUUCCAGCCGUAGCAUUUGAAUUUUAAAGGACAUAAUAAUUACGUACCUGACUAUAUCGAGUGUGUAAUCAAUUUUGAUUGAUCUCACCGUAAUUGGAAUCAUCCUAAGUUUUCUUUCUACCAUUAUUGACACUUUUAACCCUGCAUUUCCUUUUUAUUUUCCCAUGAAAGAGAGAGACAUAGAUUUGUUUAUUUGAGAGGACGAUAUAGAUUUAUUAAUCAAACAUGUUACUCCGUAGUACAAUACUCUCUUUGUUCCUAAAUACUUGUUGCACUAAAACAGCGACAAGUAUUUAGAAACGGAGGAAGUAGGUUGCACUAAAACAGCGCCAAGUAUUUAGUAUUUAGGAAACCGGUCAUGAGCUAUGAAGUUGGGUACAAACAGGCCGCGCGUUGCAUGUUGACGAUAACGAGCCAGGCCUCACGCGGGCCGUGCGGCAGGAGGCCAAACUGGGCUGCGAAGGCAGAGAUGGGUUCCCUUGAGGCCCAUGGGCUGAACAUUGGAAGUGGUUCCCCAGUCCGGGACGUUGACAGAAGAGGCUCCCUCGGCGCAUGGGAUGACCGACGGCCGCUGUUUUUACGGAGUAGAAAAUAUGGUUAACACAAACUAUCCGAUAUUGUAACAGAAACCUUGGCACAAGGUAGCUAAUGGAGAAGGAAAAUUGCAAGACAAACCGAUCCAUCUGUCAAAUCUGUUCAAAGGAGAAAAUUGCCGAGUUGACCUAUCAUAUAGUGAUAUAUAUAGGGUCGGCUGCUGUAUCUAAAAUAGCGUCAACAACAAGAAGAGCAGCAGUUGAAAAAGGUAUGCACCAUGCUACUCGAGCAGGUAUACUUCUACAACUCGUGGUUGGCACAUUUUGUGUUCUACUGUCUGUUAUAAUGUUUAAUGUCCCAUUAGCUUGGGGAUUAGUUCUGGCAAGACGAAUGGGAGAAUAACAAGGUACUCGGAUAUACAUAGUGUAACCUCAAUGAAGGAAUGUCCCAGGGAGAUAUGGCUAAAGACCCAUUGCCGAUAGUAUGUGAUCCUCUGUGUUAGCAAUUUCUUAUGGAUUCUCCAAUUUCCCACUGCCUCCUUUUCCUACAUAUACUUGCGUAUGGCUGAAGUUAUGCUAUCUCAUAGCUAGGUAUACAUAUAUACAGUAUCUGUUCUUUGGAUCGAUAUACUCUAUUUGGCAAUGCCAUACUCUUGGCUAUAUAUACCCACACCCACAGGAGCACUGCUAGGCUGGCAUGUGGAUGUGGUUGCUAUGCAGGUAGUAAUACAUCCACUCGUUAGAGUAAUUAUUCCGAUCCAACUUUUCCACGGUGAAAUUAAACUACUCUUCUUCUUAAAGACUCAAAAAUUUAGGAUCGGAGGGAGGAACUAAUAGAGAUAAUAGUGAAAAAGAUUUUUUUUUUAAGAAAACACAGUACAAACGCAGAUGCUCAGAAACACGCACGUGCACUGAGCAGGCAAAUCUUGAGGUUGAUGAAGUCAUCACAUGUGUCGGGUACGCCACUCCCACUCAAAGGACAACGUUGGUUAAAUCCUGCAAUAAAUCUAGGAAAUGCAAUCACCCACAUCAAGUUUAGGAUUUGAACCGGGUUGCUAGUUUUGCCACAAGGAACUAAUCACGCUAGUGGAAAAUAUAUUGGUUCCUUUGCAUCCAGAUUAGCAAAAAUCCGUGACGUACUCCGUGAGAAGAAUGCUCUAAAAACUGCGGUUCGGUGAAAUCACUCUUGAAAUUAAGCCGAGCCUUGUGGGGCUGGUAUAGCUAGACCGCCAAGGACAGGUGUACAUGACCCUUCCGUCAUGUUGAUCCAUGCCUGAUAGGAUACGGUACGCAGCGCUGUCUCUCUCUCCCUAGCUAGCGCCUUUGCACUGCUCGAUCCCAAGCAGGCCGCUGACGAGUGAGCAGCCACUGGAGGAUGAGGCGCGUCGCCAUCGCUGGAGAAGAGACGCGCAAUGGGCAGUUUCAAGCCGAGCGGCGGCAGGGGUAGAGGAGGGAAUUAGUGUUCGAUGUGCGUUCAGUGUGGAUCAGCUACAGUUUCGGUCGGAAUCCCAUUGCCUCCUUUUCCUAUGAAUGUAUGGUUUACCACCUACAUGCCACUGUAACACACAGAUACAGUAGUUCACACACACAUGUGCAACCUUAUUUUUUUGCAUACAGUGAUCGAUGUUGGCUCUACAUAUAUAUAGGCCACACAUGCAUAUGCAUAUGGCCGGUACCAGAGAAACCGGCUCCAACUGAAAUGUAGUUAUUACUGGCUUGGCAUGCAGUUGGCAUGAAGUGAUGAAGAGACAGUGGAAUUUUCCGGCAUUUAGCUCCCGUGAUCCGGUGCUUCCUAUAGCUCAAACAUCAUGAAAAUCAAUAGCGCUAUUAUACAUCCCAACACUACAGAAAUUAUCACAGUUAAAAAAUUGAAAUUGAAAUCCCAGUGUUUUUUUUUGUCCCACCCGAUAUAAACUUCGUCUCACCCGGCAGCAGCAUUAGCAUGAUAGCCGAGGAUUCUGUUGCUGGGCUCUGAAGACAGAAUGCAUCGCUGGGCUUCGAAGGCUCGGUCAGGCGCCGCGGGCCGGAUGUGGAAGCAUGUGGACGGACGGCCGAGCUGUGGCCGAGUGGAGCACGCAGAGGAGCACGAGACGACCAACGGCGGCUGACCGGAGAAAUUUCUGGGUCCGGCCAGGCAGGGCCAGUGGACGCGCGGAGAAGAAGAAGACUCCAGGCGGGUCUACGUGCCAGAAGGACACCGGGAGGCCUGGCCGUCGCUAGUCUCGCACCCGGCGGUGAUGGAAUUCGCCAAAACCAAUAGAGAAACUGAUGAAAUAAAUGUGCAGCAUGCUAUCAAGCCAGAACACCCAAGGAAUAUGACAGGGGUGUGCCCAAAGAACAGCCGGUGAUGCUACACGAGCCUCUAGGCUAGCCAUUUCCGGCCUCUGAAUUCCCCUAUUUCCCUCUGCCUCCUUUUCCUAUGUAUACCCUGCGUAGGCUCAAGUUGUGCGCACAUACAAUUCAUGCAUAUGCGAUCUCAUAUGUAGUUACAAUAGCUAUCAUGUGGACAAUAUAUUUGGCUAUGGAAUACUCUUGGCUAUAUAUAUAACCAUGUAUCCGUAUGGCCAGUACGAGUGACCAGCUCCAAUUAAUCUAUUUACUGCUAGGCUUGACAUGUGGUUGGUCAGUAGGUUGCAAUACAGGUACUCUUGCUAAAAAUCGAACUUGCCAUGGCGGAAUAAAAUUACUCUUCUUGGGUAAUAAACUAAUAGUACAUAUAGGAGUGGAAAAGGUAUUGGUUCAUUAGCAUCCGAAUUUAAAGAACAUGCAUAAACGCCUUUUGUUACCACUUUACACAAAUAGCUAGCUGCAUUUGUGAGGCGGUUCACUUUAAUUUGAAUUGCGUUCCUCUGCUUGGCUCAAAGGCUUGAGACAGAAAAAAAAAUCUAUGGGACAAUCUCGUCCUCGUUGCCGAAAUUUUAGCGGAACUUGAGUCAAAUCUUAGUAAACCGGAAUAAACUAAAACAUUAAUGAAAUUUGUUUUCUUAAUUUCCACAGCCUGAGCAUGUACAGGUCGGUUCAACAUCCAAUAUAAUCCACUAGUAUUGCUUAGGAAUUAGGGAGAUUUUGUGCCACAAUUUAACUCAUACUCCGUACUUGCUAAUUUGUAGCAGCGAUUUGUAUACUAUUGCAGAUUCAGAGGACGACGGAGUUCUUUCUUUCUAAUUUUGGUACUGUAAUCAUAAUAUAGGAGCACGGAUCGAGAUAUAUCAGGCGAAUGCAUGGGAUGGCCUAAGCUAAGCUCCACGGCCAGAGCCCGGCAGAUACACCUGCAGAGCCUGCGGCCACGGGUGAAGUCUUGCGAACCGAGUCAUUGGGACAUGAGUCCUAUCGCAGAAUCGUCGGGCUUGUAUUUGCAGGAAUUACUUAUGAGCAAAAUCAUCAGUCUUGUGUUCUCACCAAGGUGUCAUAAAAGAGCUCUAUAAUAAAGCAACAAGAUAUCUUGAGCCCAUUUUUGGGUGAGGCUUGGUAACUGAUAUCCCGUUGCCUCUCAAACCUAUAGAUCUACUACACCUAUGUUUGUGCCCUUAAGAUCUUAACAUAUAACAUCAACAACAAUAUGCACUUCUAUUUGUUCUAGGUGGAGAAAGUGGGAACUAAAAAUUGUGAUUUUGAGUUUGAGCCCAUUUUCAAAAAGAAAGAAGUAAUGGAGGAUAUGCAAGUAUAUAUAGUAAGAUAUUAAGAAGCUAGUGUGAUUUUGAGGACCUAAUAUGAGAAUUCUUAUGAGAUUGUAGAUGAUCAAAAAGAGGUUUGUUUUGGUGUUGGCGGAGGAUGUGGGAUUAGUUGUUUGAUGCAGAAAGUGAAGUUGUGUGCAACUCCAUAUGCAUGAUGGCUCUGUCUCACUCACUAUUUAUUUGCCAAGGUGCACCUACCAGUGGCCCUGAAGUAAUAUAUUCAGGUUAAAUGCAAAGAAAAUUGCUCUUCUGCCUACACUAGUACCUUCAUGUAAUCUACUGUGUCUAAAUGAGUAACUCCUAUUAAUCCCUAUGUCAAGAAUACUAAGGAAAGCAAACACAUGGCAUACCAAUCGAUGAAAUGUGCUCAACGCACAAAUUUAAUUAAGCGAUGACAAUUUUUUUGUCUGCCUUCACCCAGGAGCAGCAGUCGUUGGGGUUUGGGCUCGAGAGCAGACCUAGAGAUGGAUCGAGUAAACCAAGUGGCCAGUCCGGGACGUUGAGGACGACGCACAGAGACGAAAUGAAGCAUCGUUGCGGAUGAUGAACGGCGCGGCGGCUGGUCGUCAGAGAUGUCAUUUUCUCGACCGGAGGCCGGGGCGCGGUGAACGGAGAAUGAGCUAGAAGGUGACGGACGGCGACGGCUUUCAUGUCCUUGUACGCCAGUUGUUCGGUGAACUCUUGCAACCGGAGUUAGCUCGGGUAAGCGGAGUCAAACCAGCCUAUCUCGUUCAGUUUGCUGCUCAACAUUCUUAUACUGGUCUUUGAUGUUAGAUGAUACUCAGCAUGAAAUUCUCGAUACCUCCCAAGCUUAUAUUAUCCAUGAUUUGUGACAGCCCCACGAUAAAUCAAUGUCACCAAAUUUGUGUGCAUACAUGCUAGCUAGUGCAAGUGCAAUGUUGAAAAAUAGCAAUGCAUACUUGAGAAUAUUUUGGACCACUCUGGAUAAUUGGAGAGUGUUGGGAAUUGGUUAUGUAUAUUUGAGAAGAUUUUAAAAUAGUUUGGAUUAUUAGAGGAGAAGAUAUUUACAAGGAGCCAUCUAGUGUUAUGAGAGAGGAUAUGAAUAUUUUAGAAGGCUUGAAAGGUUAUUUAAAGAGUGUUGCAAUUUACCAUGGCAGGACCUAGUUAGGGUAGAUUUCAAGAAUAAGUUAGAAUUCUCUAAAACUAGGAUACAUGUAAAGUAUUCUAGAGAAUUGUAAUGGGAUGUACCACAUCGUCUUGUACAAGUAUAAAUAGGGACGCUUCCCACCUUAUAGGUGUACCACAAUCACCACAAGUAGUGUAUCACCACACAAAGUAGAGAAGUGAGCUAUCAUGGUAGAGUUGUGUGCAGGGUAGCCACUAAAGAGAGUGUUGUAUCAACAUUGAAAUAGUGAAUAAAGUGUUAAGUUCCCACAAGUUUGAUAUCCCAAGUAGUGUAGUGUGCAAAGGUCCUUAAGAGUGGGUGUUAGGGUCGCACACAUGUCCACAACACACUUGGUGCAUCAUGAGCUCCUCCUCACCACUAUCAAUCGGUAUAUAACCAAUCCCUAUAUAUAGCUAGGUUCUAUGGGUUUAACUCGGAGGAGAGAGUGGCUCAAGAAGAACAGAAAGUUGUAGUUAACAUAUAUAGUAGAGGUAAAUGCACCCGCGGUCCUACUAUUAUUGACCCUGUGUCAGUUUAGUUCUAAAAUUAUGAAAUUGCACACCGAGGUCUUAAUUUUAUUAAUUGCAGCCGUUUCUUCCGCUCCUCUUCCAAUCCGUUUCAUUUCGAUUUCAAAAGAGUUUCAUUCAUAAACUUCUCACAUUCAAAUUUAAAAGCAGUUUCAUUUCAAUUUCAAAAGAGUUUCAUUCAUAAACUUCUCGCAUUCUCCUCCCACAAUCAAGGAGGGGAGCAAGCUCUGCCGUCCGUGGUCCGCCCCUGCUCCGCCGUCUUCCUCCUCUGCUCUGCCCCUCAUUGCCAGCGACAACCCCUCCUCCAAUCGCAGUGGCCGUCAACGACCAGUCCCCUCUCUGCCGUCGGACGCCAGCGACCCUCCUCCGACAGCAACAGGUGCACAUCAACAGAACUAUUGGUAUUCAUCAACCGGGAAACCCAGCGAACGCCAAAGCACUCUGCGCGGUCUCAGCUGGAGCAUCACUGUUAAUAAGUCUAAGUCUACAGAGUUUUGGUUGGCAAGAAAUCCCACAUGCCAUCACUGUCAAUAAACAAGGACUCGUUUUCCUUUGUUGAUGUGAUCAACUUCAGCUCCAGUUCAGCGCUCAAUGGACCUCCUGGCUCGCCCAUCUCUUUCGGGGCAUCAAGAAGCCACCAAGUGCUCUAGUGACUGCUAACUGACCAUUCAAAUUGCCACCAUAUAUCGACAUAGCCACCUAGUGAUUCUACACCUUUUUUCUUUCAUUUAAGGCAGAAAGUCCUGUGGUCCUUGGGCAUUUCAAUUGCGGCACCACGCCGAGAAAGGACUGCUCAACAAUCACCAGCAUUAGCAACUAGAGAAGACCUGCACAAGAGAUGCUAAUGACGAUUAGCAUUGCUAAUCACUUGGUAUCAUCCAACAAUGAAGCAACUUACAGUAGAAAGUACUGCAAAACUCUAAUUUUUUUGACAUUCUGAAUAUAUUAUUUUUGCCCAAGAGGACGUGUUUCUGCCCAACCCAGGCCUACUCGGUUAGUUGCUUUGGCAAGAAAAUGUUCAUAAGUUCAAUGGAAGUUCACACCAUCAAUUGCAAUGCAUAGACGGCUCAGAAUCUGGACCUCCAUUGUUGCUAUAUACAAGUCGUCAGCAUCCUAUCGGUAGUUCUCACCGUGCAAUUGGUGCAAGUCAUUCGCAGUCUCCUUCACGAUACAAAACCCACAAAUAAGGAAGAACCAAUACUCUCAUAUCUGACACGUGACAAGUAGCUCGAUUCAUACUCUUCCGUGAGAAAGAAACUAAAACCACUACUCCGAGAAAAGAUGAGGUAUAUGUUUCCAUCUCCUACGAGUGUCCACAAACUACUAAUUCCCUAGAGACGUCUUGCAAGUUGCAACGCAGCGCAGACAUGGUAGUCAAGUAGGUAAGAAUGCAAGCAUACCAGACGAUAGAUGCCGGAGUUAGCAACAGCGUAGCUUGAUCCCAUGGUUUGAGAGCCAGGUGGCGCGCCCAGAUGGAAUAUUGUCACUGAUGUACAGAUACAAGGCGGCGACGAUCUACAAGGCUUCAUGCUUUUCUCCCAUUUCCCAGCGCCUCCUUUUCCUAACUUUUACAUACAAUUGUUGGUACGUGUAUACAUGCAUACAUACAUAUACAUUUGGCACCGUACGUGAUCAAUACAUCCAAGGUUGUGUGCUAACUUGGAUUGGAUCUGUAUGUGUUCUUAUGCUUCCGUUGCUACAGCCAGCAUAUGUGCUAGAAUCUAGAUAUAUAAAGUAGCUAGGGAUGGUGUUAAUGCCAGAUAUGCAUGUGCAAAUUGACAUGAUUCGUACAAAGAAGCGUACGUCCUUCUAACUUUGCUACUAAUGCAGACUGCAAGAAAGGUACUGUAUUUAUACAGCGGCAGCACCAUUAACAUCACACAUAAGGCUUAUUAGGCCCACAAAAAUAGAAUAUUUUUUAUAUAAUUAAAGAGGGCUAGUUCUCGUUUUGAUCCUGUACAUUGCGGCCGGUUGCGUGGUUUGGUUUUUCCCAUCUCGACCGUCGAAGGAAACAAAAGCACUACAUGACCAGCUUCGGAUCAAUCACUACAUCCACAGUAUAAUUUGCAAAUUCUAAUAGCUUGCAGAGAUGCUGCGGUCUAUUGGAUGUGGAAUGUCUUGGGAAAGCAUAUGCAUGCAAAGGCAUCAAAUUGAUGUCACCACACACCAUGUCUUAGUUUUGGAUGCACACGUACUGUUUAAAAAAUUCACCUUCUGGAAUCUACUCCUCCAAUGAUCCCCAAAUUUCCUUGGCUAGCCUUUUUCUUAGAAGCAACUAGCUUGGUCCUACUUUACUUGAUUGCUCCUGAACCAAUUGUAUUUUUAAUCUCCUUUUUUUGCGGGUAAUUGUAUUUUUAAUCUCCAUUAGUUUGUAUUAUUUAUUUUCAAAAAGACGAGUAACUGCGGCCUCUGCAUCGAUUGAUGCACACAACCGUUGUAUUGUUAAAGCAUCCAUCAAUGUAUCAUUCUUAAAAGUUACAUAAAAAUGGAAAAAAAGAAGACAAUACAAUCAUCCAUCUUGAAGCUAAGACUGCACGCCACCCAAACAGGUAAUUAAAUAAGGCACAUCUCCAGUGUGGAUAAAUCGGGUCCUGCAAUCAUGCUGACUUCACUUGGACUUAUUGGAAAAUAAACAUUUUGCAGGGUUUGCAAAACACAAAUGUGCAUAUCGAUCAGCUGGACCAUUUGAUAUUUUGUGCUGGAGUAAACACUGGUGUUAGGAGUGCUUAACAAGAUAGUGUUAAUUAUCACUUAACUACACAGGAAUUAAAUAAUUAAUAUGGUGAAGAAAAUAAACUAAUUAACUGGGGUGGUUGUAAUCUUUGUGGUAUUCUCAAGGAACCGAUGCUAGUCUCAACAACAGCGUACCCGCAUAUGCAACAAUAGCCUGCUCGCAUAUGGACUCACUGUUUGAGAGCCAGGUGGUGCGCCAAGGUGGAAUGUUGUAACUGAUGAACAAAUACGGGGUUGCGGCGAUCCUCAAGAAUUGAGGUUUUCUCCAAUUUCCUGGUGUCUCCUUUUCCUACGUAUACGGAGCCACAGAAUUGUUGUUACGUCCACCCGUUCUGAAGCACAUGUACAGUAGUUUUUGGCACUCUCUAACACAUUUGCGUACGGUUGUAUACUAACUUGGAUGGGAUGUGUAUAUACUCCCUCCGUCCCACAUUAAGUGACUCAAAUUUGUCCAAAUAUGAAUGUAUCUAUGCUUAAAAAACGUCUAGAUACAUGUAAUAAUAGAGCUCUUCUACUGUACCCUCUAAUUAAUUCAGACCGUUCAUUUCAUUAGAUCUAAAGGCUCAGAUUACUUGCUACUCCUCGAUACUCCAAUUUGAUUGUACGGAGUAUCAACUCAACACCCGAUGGAGUAUCAGAACACAGGGGCAAAAACGUAAUUCAAGGAGCGAUAUAAUCAAGAGAGAGAAAAAGAAGUUGCUGCCGGUCAGCCGGUGCCGGCAGGGAGGAGGGCGGCGGCCGGUGCGCGCAGUGGUAAGGGCGGCGGCGCAGCCUGGGAGGUGGGUGGGCAGGCGGCUUGGGAGGAGCGGCGGCCGCCGGGGGGCAGGGAGGAAGCUGCGUGCGGGCGGCCUGGGAGGAGCGCGGGCAGGGAGGGAGGCGCGACGCGCUGGCAGGGAGGUGGGUGGCCGGCGCGGGUAGGGACGUGGGCGGCGGCACGGUUUUAGGGAAUUUUUUUGUUUUUUGCAUAAUGUGAAUUGUCUAAAAUGCCCUUGCCUAAUACUCUGUUUAGUCCUGUGGAGUAUCAGGUACCGUAGAAAAUGUCUAAUAAAAAGUCACUUAAUAUGGGACGGAGGGCGUAUAUGUCUUAUUCUACUUCCUUCGCUAUAGCUAGCCAGCAUAUAUCUAGCCUACUUGUGUGCUAGACAAACUGGGAAAUGGUAUUAAUAUGCCAUGUGCAAAGCAACAUGAUUCAUAAAAAGGAACGUCCUUCCUUCUAACUUUACAUCACGCAUGAGUAUAUAUUAGGUCCGUAAUAUAUCAAGGCUAGAUCGAGGACAUAUGGAAGCCUUGAUGUACCGUAUUGCUUAGGUCGGGGUGAUUGCUGCCCGGCGAGAUGCAUAUCCUCCAACAAGUACUCCUAGUAUGUUAUACUGCAUAUAUAACCGCAAAUAUCAUCCGGUUACAAUUGAGAAUUAACCCUGUCUAACACUGGUAUGGAUCGAACAAGCCUCAACUCGUGCCUUCCAUUCGUUGGGUGAUUAAUCACCAUGAAUAUCAAUGAUUCAAUUAGACCAUAUACAGGUUUGCAUCUGCUUUUUCAAAAAUUUGAAGCUUUGCCGAUCUCAACAUCUCAUCAAAAGGUUGUAUCAGUAGACACACCGGCGAUUUUUUCCCCCACUCGCCCGCAACAAUCAUCAAUUAUCAUGCUUCCAUUUGAAUCACAUCGACAUUUUUCCAUUUUCUUGAACGUAUGUAGCAAUUAAUCGUGCAUGUAGAUCUAAAAAACAAUGCAUGUUAUGAAUAGAGUAAAACAUAUAUACUCAUUGUCAUUGAACUUGUCCCCAAUACCCGCAAAAAAAGAACAUUCUGAAAACUCAAUUUAGUCAUUGUAUUAUGAAAAUCAAAACUUAUGGUCCUUAUAUUUGACAAAAUGUCUCACGGAGGGUCACUGUCCCUGUAUUUAGACCAUAUUUGUAUGGCGCCCUUGACAGCUCAGCAAAUCUUUUCUGUUUUGGCUGCUGCGAAAUCCCACGAGGCAGUUUGGGUGCGAGGAACUAGGGAUUGGAGACGGGGAGGGAAAUUUUGUGGGGCCUCGUGGGAAAAUUCUUGUACAAACUGCCCAGCUUUAUGAUCCAAACGAGAGGCCACAGCCGAUCCAAACCCUGCGCUACCAGCAAAUUGCGUUUUACCUAAUGAGCCGAUAAAGGGCAUUCUUGUCUGAUCUCCAGCUAAUCGAACCUUAUCAGCCCGACGGGAAGCCAAGGCCACUCAAGAUUGUGGUAUCCGGCUUAGUCAUGAGCCGUGCGCAGUGUGAGAUUAAUUCCUGAUGCCUCCCAAGCAUAGUAUACAAUUAAUACUGAUGAUAUGUUUCGUGGUUAAUUUGUGUAACAGAUUCAAUUUCUGUGUGCGCUGGUGCAACUACAUGUUCACGGUCGAUGUAUAAAGUCAUAUGUGCUUCUUUGCCACAAGUAUAUAUAAUAUGUGUGGUGAUACCUUCUUGGGUUUCUGAGAAGAGAAAUUAAAGAAUAAAAAGGUGUGCACAUAUCAAGUGAGAUACGAGUGUGGUCUCAUGAAUGCAAAAUGAGAGAGUUAUGUGCAAUUAUAGAAUCGAGGUACGUACUUUAUGAAGGCUUUUAUCUCUACCUUUUGUUUUAUGGUGCUAUGUGUGCAUCAAGCUACCACUUUGCAGUGAAUCUUACUCACAUUAGAGGAGGGAGGGAAGGAAUAAUGAAGCGGCUGGUUUAAGUUUUGUGAAUCCUUACUCGCAAAAAGUAAAUGGUUUUAUGAAUCCUUACAAUUAAGGACAAAGAACUUAUGGUAGCUAGGAUUGCAAGAAAUUGGAGCAGUAGCUAGAGGAUAUAUUUAGAAUGAAAUACACCACUGGUUCAUAAACUCGGAGCGAAUGCACGGUUUAGUAAACGAACUCAGAAAACACACACAUAAAUCCGUAAACUCGUAUUAGUGUAACACUUAGGUCCAAAAACGGUUCAACGGGAUUAAUUUUGGCCACGUGGCAGCCACGUCAGCUUAAGCCAGGACCACGGGUUGCUGUUUGUUUUUUUUCGCAAAAAUUUAACAUUAAUUCUCCGUGUGUUACUAUUAAAUUAGCAAAAAAUUAACAUAAUUCUCUGCAGGUUGCUGUUAAAUUUUUGCUAAAACUUUCCCAAGAAACCCCAACGGCUUUUGUGGAGAGGGUACGGUAGUUAAAUAAGACAUAUCUCCAGUCUGAAUAGAUCAGGUCCUGCAAUCAUACUGACAUACCUGGAAAAUAAACAUCUUCCAAGUGCUGGACCACUUUGAUCUUUUACUUUGAGAUAUUUCGUAAUGGAGUAAACACUCUGUUAGGAGUGCUUAAUAAGAUGGCAUUAAUUAUUCAUAAUUCUUGUCUCAAAUUUGUCCAAAAAGUGAUGUAUCUAUUUCUAAAAAGUGUCUAGAUAAAUGUAAGAUUUCGACAAGAAUUAUGAAGCGGAGAGAGUAAUUAACUAGAAGGGAAUUAAAUAAUUAAUUUGGUUAAAAAAAACGAACAGAUCAACUGGGUUGGAUGGAAAUUGAGCAGCUGUUGCAUACAUGUGUUUGGGGUACCGUGAAAUCACUCAUUCGUGCGUAUCAGUUGAGUGAACAUGAAGGCAUGGGAAACAAUCGAUGCUUGUCAAAACAAUAGCGUAGCUGCACUUUAACCCACGGCUCGAGAGUCAGGUGGCGCACCGAGAUGGAAUAUUAUCACUGAUGAGAAAAUGCGGAAGUCCGACGAUCUCCAAGCCUAUAUGGUUUUCUUCCAUUUCCCUAUGUCUCCUUUUCCUACAAAUACAUACGAUUUCUGUAUAUAUGUGCAUACAUACAGUUCAUUCAUCCGGUCUCAUAUAUAUGUACGGUUGUUGUUGCCGCCGUACACAUUCGAAUAACUUGAAUCAAUGUGUGUAUGUCUUCUUCUGCUUCUGUUGCAAUUGCUUGCCAGCAUAUAUAUAUAUAGCCUGUGUACUACUCGAUCCGUACUAGCUAGGAAUGGGGUUAACAUGAUUCAUAAAAAGAAGUCGUACGUCAUCCUAACUUACAAACGAAUAAGUUUUUUGUGGUGCCUUAUUUGUAUUAUACCGUCGUUAUUAUGUUUUUUCUUUGUCCCAGGAAGUUUAUCCGUGAAGUGAAUACCAUUAUUUCUUCGAAUAAAGAGGAGUAAAUUUCACAAAACCAUUUUUUUUUGUUAGGGUUUCAUCGGGUUACAGUUAUCACUAAUAGUCUCACAAAACCACAGUUUUUGGGGCAAGCUGUCUCACAGAACCCAAAUUAGGUAGAUUAGGCCGUGUGAUGGUAUUUUUGACAGGUGGGACCCACUUGACAUAUGUCAAGUCAGACCCAUUUCGUUGCCACGUCAGCUUCCGGACCCAUUAAGGGUUAUUUCUCUACCUAAAUCGCCAUCUUGGGUUGGGUCCGGGAGCUGAUAUGGCAACGAAACGGGUUGUUCGCCUGAGGUGGCGUGUGACAGGUGGGCCCCACUUGUCAGAAAAACCAUUAAACGACAUAAUCUACCUGAUUUGGGUUCUGUGAGACAGAGUGUCCCAAAAACUGUGAUAACUGUGGCCCGAUGAAACCCUAACCUCAGGAAGUGUGGUUUUGUGAAAUUUACUCAAGAAAGAGAGCCAUGUCGUUGAUUCUGUACAUUACGGCCGUUUGUGUGGUUCGGUUUUCAACGCUUCGAGUCACAACCCCAUCUGGAGCGUGGAGGAAAUACAAAAGCUCAAUUCGGCCCAUCUCGCGGAGGAAGGUGGACUGGGCCGCGGCCCGGCCUGGCUCGAUUGCAGCGGGUAGUACACAAACACCGCCAAUGCCUAGAGGCCAGAAGAGGCGUAUCCUGUCGCAUUUUUCUGUGAGCUCCAGCUCCCUGAGCAGGCCGCCGACGAGCUUCGUGCGAGGGUGGAGGAGCAACGUCGGCAGGUCAAGGGAAGCUGCGAGUGGGUAGCCACAGGAGGAUGAGGUGCAUCGCCAUCUCUAAAGAAGAGACGCCCAAUGGCAACCGUCAAGCCGAGCAGCGGCAGGGGCAGAUGAGGGAAUCAGUGCUCGAUGUGCCUUCCGUGAGAAGAGAAAGUUUCCAUGGAAUUCCCAUUGCCUCCUUUUCCUACAUGCCACUGUUACACUUACACAUACAGUUGUUUUCCCAUCCUCCAUUUGAAUCACAUCGACAUUUUCCCAUUUUCUUGAAUGUAUGUAGCAAUUAAUCGUGCAUGUAGAUCUCAAAAACCAUGCAUGUUUGUUGAAUGAUUUAAUAAUGGAUAGAGUAAAACACACUCAUUGUCAUUAAAAUUGUCCCCAAUACCCACAAAAACGAAAGAAAAUUAAACUUGUCCCAAAAACUCAAUUUAGCUAUUGUAUUAUGAGAAUCGAGACUUAUGGUCCUUAUAUUUGACAUAAUGUCUUACGUAGGGUCAUUGUCCCUGUAUUUAGACCAUAUUCGUAUGGCGCCCUUGAUAACUCAGUGACUCUCUUCUGUUUUGGCUGCUGCGAAAUCCAGCCAUGCAGUUUAUGUGUGAGAAACUAGGGAUUGGAGACGGGAGGGAAAUUUUGUGAGGCCUUGUGGGAAGAUUCUUGUACAAACUGGCCAGCUUUAUGAUCCAAACGAGAGGCCACAGCCGAUCCAAACCCUGCGCUACCAGCAAAUUGCGUUUUAUCUAAUGAGCCGAUAAAGGGCAUUCUUGUCUGAUCUCUAGCUAAUCGAACCUUAUCAGCCCGAGCGCAGUGUGAGAUUAAUUCCUGAUGCCUCCCAAGCAUAUAUAGUAUACAAUACUGAUGAUAUGUGACAGUUUCGUGGUUAAUUUGUGUAACAGAUUCAGUUUGUGUGUGCGCUGGUGCAACUACAUGUCCACGGUCGACGUAUAAAGUCAUAUGCGCUUCUUUGCCACAAGUAUAUAUAAUAUGUGUGGUGAUACCUUCUUGGGAUUUUGAGAAAAGAAAUUAAAGAAUAACAAGGUGUGUACAUAUCAAGUGAGAUACGUACGAGUGUGGUCUCAUGAAUGCAAAAUGAGAGAGUUAUGUGCAAUUAUAGGACUGAAGUACUUUAUGGAGGCUUUUAUCUCUACCUUUUUGUUUUAUGGUGCUACGUGUGCAGCAAGCUACCACUUUGCAGUUAAUCUGAUGGCAUUAACUGACAACGAAGGACAAAGAACUUACGGUAGCUAGGAUUGCAAGAAAUUGGAGCGGUAGCUAGAGGAUAUAUUAAUGUUCCAACAUGGAUGAGCUCGUUGAAGAACAUGGAUCAUGUACCUUCAGUUUUAGUUUAUGCCUUGCUUGACAAAUAUUUCUUUUUUCGCCUUCUCAAUGAUCGAUCCGUUUGGUUACGUGCAACUCUAUUGAUAACAAUGGAAAUCAUAAUUAAUCUCUUCAAUUCUCUGCUGAAACUAUGACACAAAAAAGCUUACAUAUAUUCUAUGAGCUGCUGUUAAAGUAGAAGGUUCUGGAACAACUGUCGAAUUAUGACACAAAAUGACUGAGGUGCGGGAAUUAAAAGGGCAAGCAGUGAUGGUACGUGUUCCCUGUGCUAGCCAAUUGUUCUGAAGAAUGCCGCUGCAGGUCAUAAUGCGCUGCAGCAGCUGCGGCACGGUCGAGGAGGCGUCCGACGGCGGCGCGUCGAGCGGGACCGCAGCGGGAACAGCUAGACCUCAGUCCGAACUGACUUGCUCUUCCAUUAGUUUGGCCAAACUUCUUCAGAACUGAUGCUGCUAGUGCUUUUCGCCAUGGAUGGAUGUAGCGCCCUUGCUGGGUUUGUUUUUCUUGAAUUCGCAACCUGUUCACAGAAAUUCAGAUACGACUGGGGAAAUGCAGUAUAGGAUACUCUGAUGAUUGAGAGCACUGGGGCAAUGAUUUGGGGCAUUGAGGUUUUUGUUUAAAUUUCAUCCCUAUUUCCAUGUUUGUUUUGACUAUGCUGAUACUUGGUUGAAUUUACGACAUGUUUAUAGUAGUUCUUGUUCACUUGUUCAUAGAGCAGACAUUUGGAUGCGAUUUUGGGGAAAUGCAGAACAGAAUGUACUCUGCUUGGAGCAGAUACUUGAGAGGAAGAAAAAAUGGGGACAGAAGUGUACACAUGUCCAUUUGUUCCAGGACAAAAUAAGGAUGUUUACAGACAAAAUUUGAGUAUCUCAUCGAAUAUGCUAUCAGUUUGCACGGGCCACUGGCGAGCCGCCGCAGAGAGCGGGCUAGCUGUUUGGGUCUCUGCCGUCAAAGAUGCAUGUGCGUGCCAAAGGCGUGGACUCGUCGUCACCAUCUUGACGCCACCAUCGAUUCGAAAUUACCACGCAACCCUUAUCGCCCGGUAUUUCACAUAGUUCGCUCGCAUGGACGGGAUGGUACCGCUGGGCAACCUACCAUCGGUGUCUAAUGUUCUAUAUCUACAAUAGCCAAAACCAAAAGAGAUACAAACGAAAAAAGUGUGCAUCAUGCUAUCCCGGCCGUUACAAUAUGAAGGAGUGCCACCCAGGUAUGGCCAAAAACCCAUUGACGGUGGUAUGUGAUCAUCUAUGCUACCAAUUUCCUCCGAAAUCCCUGAUUUCCCAGUGCCUCCUUUUCCUACAUAUAAUUGCACACGACUGAAGGCAUGUGACAUUAUACAUACGUACUGUAGUUUUCCUUUGGAUCGAUAUAUUUGGCUAUAUUUAUAUAUAUAAUAUAACCACAAGUUGCAUAUGGCCGGCACAAGCGAUCCAGGUCCAAUUAAUAUAUUUACUGAUAGGCUGACAUAUGGUUGGUACGUAGGUUGCAAUGCAUGUGCUUGUAUCCGAGUGGACAGGAGUGGAACAGACAUCAAAUUGAUGUCACCACACACCAUGUCUUGGUCAACAAAUUCACCUUUUGAAAAUAAUAAUCUGCUCCUCCAAUGAUCCCCAAUUUUCUGGAGCCGGAUCCAGUGCCCUGACGUGGUGAAGGCACCGCAUGCCCUGCGGCCUUCCAUCCACCAUCCACUGAGAUCGAACGGCUAGCAGCCCAUAACAUGUAAAAAUCCCACGAGCGCAACAGAGGAAGCAGCGGGCCUGCCGUCGCCGCCGCCGCCAGCGCGGGAGGAGGAGGAGAGCAAGCUCUGCCGGUCGCCCCUGGCUCCUCCGCCCCCGGUCUGACGGCCUCCCUCGCCCCGUCUCUCCGUGCCCCGACGGCCUCCACCUGCCCCGACGGCCUCGUCUGCCCGCCUCUCCCGGCUCCGAUGGUGGGAGAAAUUGGUCGACGGCCUCGUCCGCCCGCUUCUCCUCAGCCCCGGUCCAACGGCCUCCCUCGCCCCAGCUCUCCGUGCCCCGACGGCCUCGGCCACCCGCUGCCGCCGGACUGCAGCAGUGGAAGUAAAAAGAAGAACGGAAUCGCAAUCUGAAUUUGAGGCAAGGAAGAAUUUGAGGCAACUUAUAAAUUUCAAUUGCUCAGACCGUAUAUUAUGUCCUUGUAAAAAAUUCAGUUCUUCAGAUUUGACUUUCAAGGUUUGUUCUUAUUGAAACCUGUUGUAUGCCCUAUUGUUCAGAUUUCAAUUAUUCAGGCGUAUAAAAGUGUUCCGUUUUUGAUUGAUAUUUGUCUUUGCAAAAUUUACGAUUGUUCAGAAUUUCAGAUGGCUUGUAUAAACCUGCUGCUGUACUACUGUUCUUCUGCCUAAACCUCCUGUUCAAGUCGUUGUGUCUAAAAUCGUUUCCGGCCGUCCGAUCUCAAUGAAUGGUGGAUGGAAGGCCGCAGGGCACGCGGCGUCUUCACCACGGCAGGGCACUGGAUCCGGGCUCCAAUUUUCCUUGGCUAGCAUUUUUCUCAGAAGCAAACUAGCUCGGUCCUAAUUUACUUAAUUGCACCUAAACCAAUUGUAUUUUUGUAAUCUCCAUUAGUUUGUAUGUUCACAACUUUUGUGGAGAGGGGACGGGUAGUUAAAUACUAAGACAUGUCUCCAGUGUGGAUAGAUCGGGUCCUGCAAUCAUGCGGACUUCACUUGGACAUACGUGGAAAAUAAACAUCUUGCAAGUGCUGGACCACUUUGAUCUUUUGUUUUUCGUAAUAAAGAGAGGCAGUGAGUCACUCGUCGUUGAUUCUGUACAUUACGGCUCUUUGCGUGGUUUGGUUUUCAACACUUCGAGUCGCAGCCCAUCUAGAGCGUGGAGGAAAUACAAAAGCUCCAUUCGGCCCAGAUAGCGGAAGAAGGUGGACUGGGCCGCGGGCCGGCCCAGUUCGAGUCGAGCCCGAGACGCCACUGGAGGAUGAGGUGCAUCCCCAUCUCUGAAGAAGAGACGCCCAAUGGCCACCGUCAAGCCGAGCGGCGGCAGGGGCAUAUGAGGGAAUCAGUGCUCGAUGAGCCUUCUGUGAGAACAUAUACUUUCCAUCGAAUUCCCAUUGCCUCCUUUUCCUAAAUGCCAGUGUCACACUUGCACAUACAGCUGAGAGACACACAUGCAUGCAACAUUAUUUUUACAUACAGUUGAUCGAUGUUGGCUGUAUAAACUUAUAUAGACCACACAUUGCAAAUGCAUGAUGCAUGGCCGGUACGAGAGAAAGCAGCUCCAAUUAAUUGAAAUGUAUUUAUUACUGGCUUGGCAUGCGUUGGCAUGAAGAUAUAUACAGUGGACUUUUCUCACCGGUGAUCAUCUGGACAUGAUCCUCUCCUCCCUGUCCUCGCUCUCGGGGUGCGCCUAGCUAGCGCUGGUGGACGGUACAACAAAUGAAAAAAAGGUGCAUCACACUAUUUGGGACGGUACAUUCAGGAGCAAAGUGACUGAGGCACACGGGAAAAGGCAAUGGUACAUGUUGCCCCUGUCCUAGCCAAUUGCUCUGAAUUCCCCUGUUUCUUACUGCCUCCUUUUCCUGGAUACACCUAUAUGCACGAUUUUUCUACACGCAUACAGUUUAUGCAUAUAUUUAAGUUGUGCUUUAGAUAUAUUUGGUUGUCUAUAUCAACUUAUAUGUGUAGCCUUCUCGCAAAACAAAACAUAUAUAGAUAGCCACGCAUUGUCACAUUGCAUCGCCAGAAGGUAUGAGAGAACAGAGAAGGCUCCAAUUAAUGUACUAGUGUUUGCUAGCGCGGCUUGGCAUGCAGCUGGUGUGGAGGUUUCAAUACAAUUUUUGUUAGUUAACAGAGAAAAAUACUUUUCUAUCCUUCAACUUUCAAAAGUGCACGCAGUCCGUCCUUCAACUUUUAAAAUCGGACAGACCAAAAAUGGUAUGGUUUCUCCCCAAACCCACCACGGUGGAUGGUUUCUAUCCCACCAUACUCGCCGACGGGCAGGAAUCCGCCGCCACAUCCGAAGAUGAUGACCUUGGACCCGUCGGUGUCCUACCCCAUCUGCCUUGAGAUUGCGAACACGUCAUCUCUGUCGUCCAUCAUUUCAGCCUUUCAGGUCUAAAAAGCAUUCAAGAUGACGGGUUCCAACUUUAUUGAAACCAUAAAUAGGUAAGUUCAGAGUAUUCAUUGUGCCGAAGUUACAGAAAAGAAGCACGCGGCUUUUACAGCUCAAGUAAAACGAUCGACGAGCAUCAAAUGGUGGAGCCCGAGCAAACACUGAACUCUUUUCCAGCACCUUGUGCAGCUUGGCCUUCAGAAAACAUCCUGUGCAGCAGCACCUUGUGCAACUUGCUACAGCUAGCCUGAUCGAGCCUCUGUACAGAUUCAACAACCAAUCCACUAGUAUUCCGUGGAAAAUAAAUUAUCCACCAUAAUUUAUCUCAUAAAUAGUUGUCGAUUUGCAAGAGCAAGUUGGUUUCUGCAGAUAACCGAGUACUGAGUCUCGUGUUAGACGCAGAUUAAGAAGAUGCGUCGUACACUUCGUUUCAUCACAAAUUUAAUCGAGGGCAACAACGACAAAUAUUACUAAUCAGCCUUGAUUCCAUAUGAUUACAUCCGAAGAAGGCGCAUUUGGUUGAUUGCCGAACAGUGGUUCAAAUUAGCCAGAUUUGUACAUCUUCACGGGUUGUUUGUCAAACCAGCCAAGCUGGUUCAGCCUGCGGGUCAACACCUUGAUACUCAGCGUGAAAUUCUCGAUACCUCCCAAGCUUAUAUUAUCCAUGAUUUGUGACAGCCCCGCGAUAUUUAUAUAUCAGUGUGUCACCAAAUUUGUGUGCAUGCAUGCUAGCUAGUGAAAGUACACACAUGACACAUCAUGACCACAACACACUUGGGGCUGUGCUGCAACAUGAGCUCCUCCUCACUGUCACCGACCGGUAUAUAUAACCUGCCCCUAUAGCUUCUAUGGGUUUAACUCUGAGGAGAGAGUGGCGGAAUUGAAGACAGAAAGUUGUACUAUCUCGAUCUAUAUUAUUUGUCGCAAUCUUUUCUAGACAUGCAUGUACCUACACAAUAAAACACGUUAGCCGCGACAAGUAAUAUGGAUCAGAAAGAGUAGUUAAUAUAUAUAAGUAUGAUUCGUUGCGCACAUUCAUGUAUUUGGAAGUAGUUGAUGGUUCACUUUGAAACAGCGAAGGUACAUAAUGUCCGUACGAUACUUUUACAAAGAUGACUCAUCUCUUUUUGUGGGCCAUUGGAAAACAACAAGCGAUUCAGGUGCUGAUUUACUGAAAGUCGUACACCAGGCAUUUCCGACUUUCAAAACCGAUUUCUCUCGUCCGAACAACCAUAUAGCUCAAAUGCUAGCUCUUUUUUUUUGAUGAAUUCAUGACAUUUUUGCACAUGUGUCAUUAUCUUGCCAAUGACGAUAAACGACGGCACUGCAUGUCUGCCUUUGACAUCCAUCUAUAGCACUAUAGAUAGCAGGCCAAAAAUAGUAUGCAGUGGCUUUGGCAUGGAAGCAACUACGUACGCAACUUCUGUAUCUGUACUUCCUCGGUAUCGCGUUUUUAGAAGCUAUACUACUCACUUGAUUCACAAAUUGUGGUUUACUCCAAAUUAUUUUCUCUUCUAAAGUCUAUUUUAUUCCCAAAUUAAAUUGACACAAGUAAUUAAAUUUAUGCAAGGUACGUAGACUUUAGUGAAUGCAAAGAGGCAAGGAAUGAAGUGGCUGGUUUAAGUGUCUGUGGAUCUCGGCUGACUGAGAACCGGAACUUCUUUUUUUUUAUUAAUGGAUGAAUGAGAACUGAACUACUAGUACUAAGUGGAAAGAAGUUGAAGGCGGUUGCUUCAGCAAGCAUCUCUGGCGUGAGAGGAGAGCCAGCGAUUUGUAACAGUCAGGUAUCUUCAGAAGCGUGGAGAUGUAGCAGCAAAAAGUUGUUAUCUGCUCCUCCAUCUUGGCCCCGUUUAACUUCUCGCCACAGUACUGUGAAACCCUGACCUGGCACCGUUUGAUCCUCUCGGUCCGCUCAAGCAUAUAGGCGGGCAGAUAUGCAAGUAUAGCCACGAUGCUUGUCAGAACAAGUUCGCACCUGGGCUUCAACACACGGUUUGAGAGCCAGGCGGCGUGCCGAGAUGGAAUUUUCUCACCGUUCCGUCACAUUUCCCUCUGCCUCCUUUUCCUACGUAUACGCUACGAUUGUUGUAUUCACAUACAUGCAUGCAUGGAAUUCAUGCAUGCCUGCCAUCUCUAUACGGUAAUACUACUAUAUAGAUGUUCACGGCUGUAUACAGUAUACUAAUUUAGAUCGGGUGUUUACAUGUUCUUCUUAUAUAUACUUCCGUUGGUAGCCAGCAUGCAUGUAUAUACUUUCUUCGUCCCAAAUUAACUGUCGUGGAUUUGCAUAUCCACGACAGUUAAUUUGGGACGGAGGAAGUGUAUACUUGUGAGCUACGAGCAGAUAAACUAGAAAACAUGGUGGUGUUGCGGUGUUGAUGCCAUGAAGGUGCAAACAUUAAGUCGUAAAUUAAAGGAAGGAACGUUCCCCUAAAAAAAUAAUUAAAGGAACGUUACUUUAAGUUCUAAUUUGCCACUAGUGUAGAUUGCAAGAGAGGGAGUACGAUUAUAUACGAAAAUGCAUUAAUAUACGAGCACAGUCAAUGCAACCAAUGAUCAGAAGACAUGAAUGCCAUGGGGCCCACCAACAUCAGGACAAAAAAAGACAGUACUCAAUGACGUGGACUGAUAUGCACGAAUCUAAAGCAGACAUUCAUGGUGGAUUCUUUACUCGUAGGUCUCGGACUUGAUAAUAAAAUUGACUUGUACUAGUACGUGUAUAUACAGCAGCACCACCAUUAACUGGGCUUUGAAUGCAGAAUGCAUCGCUGGGCUUUGAAGGCUCGGGCACAGCGGGCCGGAUGUGGAGGCAGGUGGAGGGACGGCCCAUUGCUCGAGUAGAGCACGCAGAGGAGCAGGAAGGCUCUACUUUCUGGACCAGGAAGGCUCUACUUUCUGGGCGCAGACGACCAACGGCGGCUGAUCGGAGAAGUUUUUGGGUCCGUACGGCCCAUUGGCUGAGUGGACGUGCGGAGAAGGAGCCAGAAGGAAACUUUUUCAAGCUUGUGGAAAUUAAUCAACUUGACUGUUCGUUCUUCACUUGACAUUACAUCUCAUCUGAAUACAAUGUCUCAUCGAUCAUUCCUAGACCUUUGGACAGUUUCGAUAAACUACUCCUAUGCACAUCAGCAAGAGCAUGAUGCUCAAUGGAAUUGUAGUGGAAUGCAACACAAUUUGAGACCCAUUAUUGUGCAAGUCAGAAUGGUACUGACGGCCAUAGACAGAUGGAAAAAAGACGUUUUCAAUGAUUUCCCGGUGCCUCCCUUUCCAACUUACAUGUGAAAAGUUGUUGUGCAUUACUCUACGCCAAAUAGAUUAACUUGGAUAUGCCUAGUCUAUUUCUACUGCGUGCUGAAUACUACAAAAUGCUCCUGCCAAAAGCGGUACAUUUUUUGGUCCAGGGACGGAGCCAGAAAUUCAACAUGAGGAGAGCGAUUUGGGUUUAGGGGGACGAAAUUAGAGAGCUAACCUAUUUUUAAGGGAUUCUUAAUAAACCAAUUAGUGCAUAUUAAACAAAACAAAUUUUAUAGGGGGGCAAAGCCCCCCGACGCCCCCUUGUCUCCGUUCCUGUUUUGUCCACAUGUGAUGGUUUCUCCCUGAAUCCAUCACCGUGGAUGGUUCUCUAUCCCACCAUACUUGCCGACGGGCAUGAAGCCGCCACCACAUCUGAGGAGGAUGAGUUGGACCCGUCGGUGUCCUACCCCCAUCUGCCUUGAGAUGGCGAACAUGUCAUCGCCGCCGUCCCAUCAUCAUCCACACGGGCGGUGGCCACAUCGACAAGGAUGAGAAAGCGAAGAAACAAAAGGAACUGCCAGGACAACGCCCAGCAGAACCAGCACUCCAACCACGGACCAAAUUACAGCUAUUAACAAAGUACCAAAACUUCAGAAUUAACAGACUUUCAGCCAAAAAAAACUCUCUAGAUUGCUUCCAGUCUUUUCAACACCCCCCAGCUGUGAGACUUGUUCAAAAUGUCGGUCACUGUCCCCUGCAGCGUCACAGGAUCAGAUGAGAGCAGCUUCAGCAAGCAUCUCUGGUGUUGUGAGGGGAGCCGGCAAUUUGGACCAAGCGAUCCACAGGCAGUGAGGUGUCUUCAGAAGCGUGGAGAUGAGGGAGCAGAAAUUGAAGUUGUUAUCUGCUCCUCCAUCUUGGCCUCGUUUAACCUCUCGCCACACUGUGUGCAGGCCAAUUGGGUACGUCCUGCUGCCCUUCAGUUUGCCCUAGACGAGAUUUAUCCAAGAAAGAAGGAAAGAAACUCUGAUCUGGCACCAUUUGAAAUUGUGGCGCCGCUCAAGCAGAUAGGUGGGCAGACAUGCAAGCAUAGCCACGAUGCCCGUCUCUACACCUUCGUGCCCGGGCUUCAACACACGGCUUGAAAGACAGGUAGCGUUCCAAGAUGGAAUUUUCUCGCCCAUGAUAUCCUGAACAUAAUUGUUUCGUCACAUUUCCUGGUGCCUCCUUUUCCUACCAAUUCAUGCAUGUGAUCUCAUACGUAUGAAUAUACACGGUAGUAGCUGUUCGCUGCUGUAUACUAAUUUGGAUCGGGUGUGUAUAUGUUUUUUUUAUGCUUCCAUUAAGUUGAUGGCCAACAUGCAUAUACAUAAGUACAUAUACAUAUAUACCAUGUUCGAUACCGGUACAGCAUUGAGGCUUUGCUGGCAGCGUGCACAUACAUAUAUAUACAUAGACCUCUAACACUACCCGUUUUCUCUCAUUUCCCAGUGCCUCCCUUUCCAACUUAUUCAAAAAGUACAGUACAUGUGAAAGGUUGCUCUGAAUAACUACGCGCCAAAUAGAUUAACUUGGAUAUGACGACUAGUCUAUUUCUACUGCGUACUGGAUACUACAAAAUGGACUAGGUGGGCUCUGUAUUUAUUUAUAUGGAAGCUGCUAGGGAGAGGAACACAUCGACCCCAUAUAUUCAACCGUCGAUUCGAGGAGGGGCUCGAUCGGGGUUUUCUAAAGUAAUCAUUCCUCUCGUACGUUUCUUGACUAUCUUUUCCUUUAGUAACAAGGUAGUUUUGGGUCCCGUCCUAAUGGUUCCUGACCUGACAAUAGGCGGCCAGCAAUUAAGCGGCGCAUUGGCCAGUGACCAUGGACAUACAAUCACUUAAAUGCAAUCCCCGGCCUUGCAGUGCAUAACUACUGAUAUAUAUAAUCGCCGAUUAAUUAGUGAUGGAAUUGGUAUGUCUAAGAAGAGAGCUGCAACCAUUCAUGGUUAAUUAUAAAAGCCUAAAAUCCAUAAAACAAUCAGACUCUAGAACGGAUUACGAUAUCUCGCAUGUUUUAUCAAGAUUAAUUGCUGAAGUCAUGCAAUCUCGUACUUACAUACAGUAGCUGUUCUUUCCAUUGAUAUAUAUAUUCUGCACCCCCAGCCGAUUGAGGCUUGAGGACCAGCCAGGAUUCGUUCGCUAACCCAGGCGGCCAAACACAAAUGUUGCAUGCGACCUAAGAAACUUACGUCCGACCGAUCGAGCGCACGUCCGGACGUCUCGCGCGCUGGAGCGGUUAUUUUGCAUGCGACAUGAUAAUAUUACGUUGGCUUCCGGCGACAUAAUUUGCAACGCAAGGGCAAUUUGUUUUGCAUGUGUGACGUAAGAAACUUAUGUUGGCAGCUUCCAGUGUAAUUGGCCAGGAGGUUGUAAGAUUAUGUUGCAUUCAACGAUUUCUAUUUUUAGCGAGUAAAUGCCUAAUAUUACACGGGGCAGUAAUACAUUAAUUCAUAUUGCGCCAAAGCUUUUAGCCAAUCUUAAAAAAAACAAUUAGCCAAUCACUGAAGUAAGAAAUCUUGGUACAAUAUAAAAUAGAAAAUCGAUGUUAAAAGCAGCUGUACCCUAAUUAGACACAAAAUACCCAUAAGAAUUCUCAAUGCCAAUAAAUACAAACUCCAGGUCAACGUAAGAAUUCUAAGUGCCAACAUAAAAUACAAAUUCUUUGUACAGAAGGUAGACGAUUAACAGUUAGCCAUACUCCAUUCGACUUGUUACCAUCUAACAUAAUGCCACUGGCCCUCGGUUCACAUAAGGAUCUCGCGAAAGCAAGCGCUGUGGUAGAUUGGCAGUUUUAUGGUGCCCCUUUAUUUUAUUUCAAAUGGCCACCACAUGGUACCAAGCAGAGCUGUCAGUUCAGCAACCUGCAUAUACGGAGAAUAAGCUAAACCUCUUCAACAAUGGAAUAGAAGAAUUAUCUAAGCACUGGAGCUCCACAAACAUAGACUUUUACCAAGAGGUAAGAUUAUUGCCAUGGUACAUUAGGCCAGGUAGUAAGAAGUCAACAGAUCUGACCUCCAUUGCCUCAUCACCAACAUGAUCUUGGCAAGCAGGGUACACUCCAUCUUCCAAAUGAGUUUCACUGUAGAGUAAAAAACAACAGAACGCUAAAAAAAAAACAGAAGUUGCAUUCUGAAAUAUUAAGUAAGAGAAGAAAUUGAGCUAACUAAGUGUCUUACAUGAUCAAACCAUGUCCGAACAUUGUCACCAGAAAAAACAAAAGCUAUAUUCGAACAGUUAAGGAAUCUAGCUACAAUCAAACAACAAAAUACAUAGCUAGAAGCCACCUAUGCAUUGCAGGUUGAAUAUCGGAGGAACUGAAAAUAUGUCCUUACACUAUUGCACACAAUGCACAUAUAUUACAGCUGAGUAUGUCGUGUUCCAGCCAUGAUUCAGUGAUUUUGGUGUGUGUGUUUACAAGUUUUUUGAGUUUGAACUCAACAACAACUGCUUUCUACACUACCGAAACAAUAGACGUUUUCUGCAUUACUGAAAAUCAGCACCUCCUGAAAUCUGCAUUAGCUUUUUUCAGUUGCAUUGAAUGGCAGAAAAUGAACCUCUUGAAUUCCAGCAGGAGCUUUUUAUCGAACAAACCAAGUCCGAAAAGAAAAGGAAAAAGGAAAAUAGCAGUAUAUCACAAACAUAAAUGAUGUUGGAUAUACUACCUUGGGGUCAGCAAGCACACCAAUCAUCGUGGCAUCUAUCUCAAGCUGAUUAUCUAUACACGAAGCUCUGGCGGCCAUUAGUAUACAGUGUCCUGAUCAAUGCCCCUUUGGAAAAACUGAUUCAGUUAAGAACAUGUUAAUUGAGAUGACCUAUAUCAUGACAAGGCUGUUCUACUGACAAGUAAAUAUCAGAAGCCUAACCUCUAUAAGAUUCUUGUCCACAGCCAACUUGUUCAAGGUUACUGUCCGUGUCUUGUCACUACACGGAACAUCCAUGCCAGCCAUCUCCUCAAUUCCUGUCAUCCUCUUUGUAAUUGCUCCAUGACACCAACUUGUCUCCAUAUAUCUCAAAAUAAACUGAAAUAAUGAAGAAUCAGAUGAUCCUCCAUGGAGAUAAAAUCAUACGAUCUCAGUAAAACAUAGCACAUGAUUUACAUUUAGUACUGUUGGAGAAAUCAAUGAUUAGAGGAGAUACGUACACACUUUAUUCACAUAUGUUCAUGUUAGAGAUUUCAUCAAACACCUUGAAGGCAUACUAAGAUUCAGAGUCAGCACAUUUACAUACCACAUUGGUGCCAUCCCGCGCACUUGAAACAGAAAAAGAGGAAAGCCAAGCAAGAAUUAACCGUGCCAUCCAUACAAGUAUUGGGGGAAUUAAAUUGGUUAAACCUGAACAGGACGUUGGAGAGCUGCAGGGGGAUCUGGAUGGAGAGACCUGAAGGCAUCAAUGGGAGGAAGCGGAAAGCAGGAGAAGAGAAAACGAGCAGAGCUGAGAAAGUGAGAAGCACCUCCGAAAAUAAAUUCUCCAGAUCGCUGCCUCACUCUGGAGUGGAGUGGAGUUCGUCGACGCACAGAGGGUGCAGGCCGGCCACCAAAUCCCCUCCAGUAACAGAGCCGCUGCCUCCGCCGCAGCCCACGGUGGCGUGGCGUCACUGGCUCGCCUCCCCGAACUGUCGGCAGACGCGGACUAGGGAUGCGUCGGUGCUCUUGCUCGCCGCUCCUCCCCGUCGUUGCCGCUGCAGCCGCUGCCGCCGCCUAGGCUCGCCGCAAUUCCCGAAGAAACCGCCUUUUUGGUACUACCAGGGGUAAUUACCCCCUAAACAUCAGUCGUCCAUCAGGCUCCGACGAAUCCAACUCUGAUCGGGUUAUUGGAUUUGGUUCUACCCGAUAGCCAGCAAGCUAAUUAUUUUCUAAUUAAUUAAUCCAGUCUGUUUGUUACGUGGAUGUUCCAACAACCAACACCUAUCGCCAUGAAUCCAGCAAUUUGGUUGGGCUUGCUGCCUACCCUUCGCUCUAUAUAAGGCCAGGCACUAGAGGGGAGGGUGCGAGGGCGGCCAGGCGGAGUGCAGAGGCGCAGAGCAGAAGAUUGCAUGGACGCAGAUUGAGCAGCUCCUCUUAAUCUAUCAGCACGAGUACUGCUUUUGCUACAGUAUGUGGUGUACUACUUUGUUGCAGCUCCCAACCAUGAAAUCUCUAGAAACUUUGAAGGUGUUCUACCGUGUGAUUGCAAACUUUUGUUGAUUGUUUUCCAGGGAUGCAACUUUCUAUCUGCUCCAAUACCGAAAAAGAUGAAGAUGAAUUUUAUGAACGCAAGGAGUUAGGCCCGGAGUAUAUAGUAUGGAGUUUACAGAAUGUUGCAUCAACAACAACACAAGGAUGGAGUAUAUAGAAUGUUGUAUGAACAACAGAAGUAUGAAGUAUGUAGUACCAUGCAUUUAGUAUGAAGAAUAUAAUCAGCAAAAAAAAAAAGUAUGAAGAAUGUAGAAGGUAGUAUGGAGUAUAUUCACAAGCAGUAUAUAGAAGGAAGUAUGUAGUAUAUAGAAGGUACUGUAGGACAUAUAUUAGAAUGUACUCAUGUAUGGAGAGUAUAUAUAAACAAAGAAGUAGUAGUAUGGAGUAUAUAUCCAAGAAAAGUAGUAAAUAGUAUAUAGUACAUCAAUACAAAAUAAUUUUCCUAUGCAGUAUACAUCACAACUAAUUAAUGAUGAUUACAAAUAGUUGUCUCUACGAUAGCCAUGCACACAGCACACGAGAUGGCUAGCCUCGUAGAAAUGAUCAUAUUUGUCUUCUCUCCGUACGUACAUGCGUAGAUGCAUCACCCAUGAGUUCGUCUCUCUAUGUUGCUACUCCUGUCUGCUGCCUUGACCGAUCUAGGUGGAAAAAAAAGAAAGUGGUUCAAGGGACUGUGAGAUCGAGAUAGGUGUGUGUGUGUGUGAAUGAUUGCGCGAAACCAAAUUAAAACUUUUUCCGAAAGUUCAGACCCUAAAUCAUCUUUCUGUCCGUGAUGGUAAAACAGCCGUAACUUUUGAUUGCAUGAACCAAAAAAUACGUAUGAGUAUGCAAAAGAAAGGUAUUGAAAUUAUCUAACCAACGCAACAAGAAUCAGCUCAAUCGGACGUACCAAUCAAAAGAUAUGAUCAAAAUAGUAACAGCUGACAGAAAGUUACGAGGAUUAAUUUAAAACCAAUUUCGAGGAAUAACAAGAAAGAUGAAGUAAUCGCGAUCUUCCUUGAUCUCGUGGUAAACCUGCAGAAAAGUAUUAUGAACUCGUGAUAAACCUGCAACAAAGUGUUAGAAAGAUCUAGCACGAAGAAUUCACGAAGAUCCGAAAAGAACAGAAAUGACACCGCCAACGAAUCUCUUUAUUGCAACGAUGUCGAUCGAUUACAAAAGAUGCAACCAUGCAUCCAAGAACUCUCCAAGAAUUGAUCUAAAUCCAAAGCUCUGAGUUCUCUCACGUCCUUACUAAAACCCUAGAUAGGAUGCCCUCUAUUUAUAAAGGAAAAUUCGCGACCUUAAACCGAGUCCGAAUCCAACAUGAACUCCUCUGUCCCAGUCGGUAUUUUGCUCGUGGGGCCCGCAUACAACCUCGGAUUGAGAUUACUCCAAAAUAAAAGUUGUUCGUCUCGACGACGCGCACAACUUUCAUGUAGACCACUUUUCCAUCCGACGCCAUCUUGAUGAUGCUACUGUUUAAUCUUUAAACAGCUCUCAUCUAGCCACGGCUGAACCUACAUAUCUUCACGUCGAUGCCACUCCAUGCCAUCAACUCUUUUUGUGAUGUCUUCAAAACUCGACCAUCACGUAUCGAAUAUCUCCAAUACCAUACAUAUCCGGUAUAAACAACAUACGACAAACCGGUGCCCUCCCGGAUCAUCGUAGCUUUCACUUCCAUUGUUCCUUCACACGAACGUCCCGCAUGACCUUGAUCCUCGACCUCAGCUUCUCUCAAGUUUCGUCCCUCGAUCCCGUCAUCGACCAUGUUCUUCUAGCUUCGGCAACACCUGAAAGCGAACACACAAAUAACCAGUACGAGCACAAGUCCACGACUUGACUCAGGGUAAGUUUCACACAACUCACGCCAUGUACAUUUGGCUAUGGAAUACUCUUGUCUAUAUUUAUAACCAUUAGUUGCAUGAUGGAGGUAAUCUUCCUGAUACUUGAAAAGAAUCGAACAGCCGUUGCAUACAUGUAUGACGAAGUAUCCGGUGAAAACCUUCAUUCGGUGCAAACCGUGCAAACUCCAUAAAAACCACGUUUAGAAGUUUCCAAAAAAUUCUAAAAAAUAUCAUAUGUUGGGACUGUGAUGUUCUACAAACCUGCAAAAUUUCAAGUUCAAAAUCAAAAGCAUAUGGGAGAAAUUAAAAAGAGAAAUUUACAAUGAAUAGUGUCAAACACUGAAAAACCACUAUUCAUGCAGAAUUUGUCUUUUUCGCUGCUACCAAAUAAAAUUGAGUUUGGACUUUAAAUUUUACACAUAUAUAAAAUAUGAAUUUUCUAACACAUGUGAUUUUUUUAAGAAUUUUUUGAACUUUUUUCGAUGAAGUUUUCACGUUUGCACCGUAGAAGUGGUUUUCACCGGAUACAUGUAUUUUGAAGAAAAAUCAGGAAAAGGAAGAAUCCCUCGUCAUGCUUAACAAACAACACCCACCAGUCCACGCCAUCCGUGCAUAUCAGGCGAAUAAACAUGCAAGUAUAGGAAACAAUCGAUGCUAGUCUCAACAACAGUGUGGCCGGAUUUGAACUCAGGAUUUGAGAGCCACGUGGCAUGCCAAGUCACUGAUGAUUUCCAUAAUACAGGGUCUUGAGACGUUCUCCAAGACUUGACCGUUCUCUCCCAUUUUCCAGUGCCUCCUUUUCCUACAUAUACAUAAGGCCGGUUGUUUACUUAAUUUAUGUGCAUACAUACAGUUCAUUCAUCUGAUCGUAGUUUUGCCACUCUCUAUCACAUUCACGUAUGGUUGUGUACUAACUUUGGACCUGGAUGUGUAUAUGUCUUCUUCUGCUUCCGUUGCUAUAGCCAGCAUAUAUAUAGCUAGCUUGUGUACUACUCGAUCGGUACUACUGGUGUUAAUGUCACGCAUUCAUAAAAAGAAGUUGUACGUCCUUCUAACUUACAAACUUACAAAUUAAUGGAGAUGAAAAAGAAGUCAUGAAUGUUGUUUUGCCAUUAUUUCUUUAAAUAAAAAGAGCCGCUUCUCUUGUUUUUUCGUAGGAAGAGACACUUCUCAUUGAUUCGGUACAUUACGGCCGUUUGCAUUGUUCGGUUUUUAACCCUCGCGUCACAGGCCAUCUCGAGCGUGUUUGAAAUACAAUAGCUCCAUUCGGCCCAGAUCGCGGAAAAAAGGUGAACUGGGCUGCGGCCGGGCCCAUCUUGAGCGAUUAUCAACAAGAACACGCUUCGCGAUCCCUAUCCAGAAAAAAAAACAAGGUUCCCUAAAAAAAACAGCCAGAGAAUCCUCCGCCGAGGCCCUUCCUCCAAUCGAGUUUCCGUAAUAUAUCCCUUUAAAAAAAGUAAAAAAAAAAAUCGUGUUUCUACUCCUCCAAUGAUCCCAAUUUUCGUUGGCUAGCCUUUUUUUCACAAUCAACUGGCUAGCCUGGUCCAACUUUGUUUAAUUGGACCUGAAACAAUUGGAGUAUUUUUUAAUCUCUAUUAAUUUGUAUGUUCACAACUUUUUGUGGAGAAGUUAUGGUGGUUAAAUACUCUCUCCAUACACAAAUAAGUGUGCAUCUAGUUUGGUCCUAAGUCAAACUUUUCUUGGUUUGACCAAUUUUUUUAAAAGAGUAACAACACAUAUGACGUCAAAUCAGUAUAUUAUAAAAAUUACAUUUUAAAAUGAAUCUAAUGAUGCUAAUUUGAUGUUAUAAAUGUUGCCACAUUUUUUAAUAAAGUCGGUCAAAUUUUGAUAUCUUUGACUUCGAACAAACCUAAAAAUACGCUGGACGGAUGAAGUCGGGCUUAAAACAACUUCACGGCUUCAACGUGCAUCAAGUAAGUCACUGAUUUUCUCGAUAUGUGUCCAUUGUCAAGAUGCAUCAAUAUGUGUGAUUGGUUCUUUCCUGUGAGGAGCUGCAUCUGUUUUGUGCUUUUUAUUGGGUGUAUAUAUGUUUUUGGAAUUUCAAGAUUACUGUGUGCUGCUGCUCUGCUUCUGCUUGCAGCCGGCCACUGCUGCUCUGCUUGCUGCUCUCUUCAAACAUGCAUAAGUAUAUUGAGCAGUUGAUCAAUCAUUUUACAGAAUCAUAAGUUUUGGUGAGUUUGAUAUCAUAUCAGUGCAACAAACUAAAGAUUAGACCGCAAGCUGGCUGAUCUUGUGUACACAAGUACCAGAUAUAAAAACCAAGGGUAAUGUGAGUACUCUAGAGAACUAAACCAUGUGCCAAAAAAAUUAUGUAACUUGCUAAUUAUUAAUUAAGCAGCUAUUUGAAUGACAAAGUGAUACUUCACAUAACUGGUUAAUCAGCAAAGCAGUUGAUCACAUAGUUCACACAUGAAGAAACCUUGUAGCUACAGCUUUUCAGAAACCCUGUUCAUCAUCCUGCUGGUGUGAAUAUCUAAGCCAAAAUAACAAAUUAAGUAACCGAUGCAUGCAAUUUCUUGUGAUGGUUAACAUAUAAGAGACAUGAUUUAUGCUUACCUGUAGCUACAGCCUGCAACAAGGGCACGACGCCUAUACCUACUCAUACUUGCUCGUUGUGUUUGGGGCGUAGGAGAUCAUCACUACUAAUCAUUUUAUCUUAGAGACUAAUUACUUUUGGAGAAACUAAUGCUAAGGUUGCAGCAGGGCAAUGAAAAAUCAAACCCCUUCGCAUCGAGCUCAAGUGCACCAUUGCCAUAUGUCUCCUCUUCAGAUGUCUUAAAGAUGCAAAUGGAUCAUGAACAAGGAUUGUAGAGAUCAAGCAAUGUAAACAUGGUGCUCAUGCCACUUUCGCAUUCUAUGUUGUUCAUAGAUCCUCGGCAUGUUGUCAUAUUUAGUACUAUGGAUUCUUGGUCAUGUACUUUGAUGUAUUUCAGAAAUCGUAUCAUAAAUCAGGAAAUUCUAUGUAGUAGUAUUUUUAACAAUGCCUAAAGUGAUCAUAUACUGAAGGUUUUUAUGUCAAUGCCUCAACUCACUAUUGAAGGCAAUUUUUCAGUUUGACUUGAAAGACUAUUGAAGGCAAUUUUCAGUUUGCCUUGAAUGACUAUUGAAGGCAUUUUACAAAAAGCCUCCAAAACUACUUUCGAAGGCAAUUUUUAGAAACUAGAUGAAUUCCCCGCGCGUUGCUGCGGAAAAGCAUGGUUAAAGAAAAUCCAUUGCAUGUCACUCUAAACAAAAAUUUAGUAUUGCCGUGUUGUGGGUGUUGAACCUAUGAAUGCUUACAAUUUAGAACGGUAAGUGACAUCCUUCAUUGGAACAUUUUCUCAUAAUGUUUAGCUGUCAUUCGGAUGUUUGAACUCCAAAUUUGAUUUCACGUCAGAUUAUGGUAUGCACAUCAUCACUGGUUUAACUCACAUGUAGCUUUCUUCUUUGGUCAUGGGCAUGACGACUUGAUUUUUGCUCCCACCCAGUAGAGACCACGUACAGUACACAAACUCAUUGCAGCCUGAGAGACUUUGGCAAUAAGUUAUGGUAUAUGUAAGCUAGUAAGUGCCAAAUUAGAAAAUAUAAUCCUUGGGAAUAUCAUUAUCUGCACAUUUACAUAUGCAAGAUAGAAAAUAAGCAGGACCUAAAAUUUGAAGCAAUGUUUGAUUGCUAAGUAAUACGCCACAAAAAUUUCAAUGUUUUAGCUAACUCAAAUUUAAAUUUUAUUUUCCCUCAAAUGUUUUUUUUAAUUUCUCAAUUAUACUAAGCUGAAUCAGAGUAACGAAGAUGGAAAGAAUAUCAGUUUCAGUGAAAUUAAAAGAACAGAUGAAAUUGGAAGGUAGAAACUCCUUGCUAACCUCAAUUUCUGAAGUACAUUAAGGAUGAUACAUAACACAUGUGAUGUUCUCUGUUCGUAGUCCAUAUCUCCUGCCAAUAUGAGUGGCAGGAAGGUAAAAAAAAUAGGUCCUAUGUACUAAUGAAAACACCAAGCAUCAAAGUCAAGAAGCUACAGACCUCCCGUGGAAAUAAAUCCGGCACAACACAUUGUUAAUCGAAACCACAAGCUUGAACAUGUGAAUCCUGCGAUGGUCUUCAUGGUGGCUUGUCAUCAUCCCCAGUUCACCACCGUUCGCGUCCUCAACGCCAUUGCAUGUGCAGGGGCCACCGGCGCACCAUAGAAGGCGGCCUGGGGAGGCGGAUACCUGCCUGUAUGCAGCAUCUAGCCUGCUAGGGCAGAGGCACCUGGUCCCACAUCUACGGCGGGGGAGGCGCCUGGGUGCUGCGGAGGUGGCGGGUAGUGCUGCACCGGCGGCAUGGGCGACAGGUGGUGCCCCAAUGCGGCAGGGCACCGGUCGGCGCCUGCUGCCGGUCAGCGGCUAGGGCAUCACGGCGGCGGCACGGGUGGGGCGACGGGCGAACCCUAUGGACGGGGCAGUGGCCCAUAGGGAGGUCUUUAAAGGGAGCACGAUUGGUCAGCUCCCUGCCUCCCUUCAUCGGUUCGGGAGAGCAUCCGUCGUGGGCAGCGGAAUAGAUGCUGCAGACGAAGUGGGAAGUAAAUGAACGUCGGGAGAGAAGAAGAGGAAACGGCAACAUCUGGGAGAAGGAAAGGUUCGUGCUAAUGGCCCAUGACCAGAGAACGGUUUGGUGUACGUGGUGGGCUGGAAACUUGGCCCAAAUUUCUUGGACGCUGAACGGGACACCGUGGGCUGUGAACUCGGUGGAUUCCACGGCGCUAGCAAAGCCUGGGCGCAGGAACGGGACGGUGCCAUAUGGCGGAAACAACAUCGUAGGAAAAAUGGUGACGUGGAUAGCUUGCAUGUUGAUCUUGCUAAAUUAACUGCACUUAGUGGGUUUCAACUUUAUAGAGUUUGUAGAUGACUUCAAUGACAUUUCCCUUCCCCAACUUUCUUGUCAUUUUUUAUAAAGCCUCCAAACACUUUUGAAAACAUUUUGCCCCCCUUUCGAGGCUUUUCAAAAUGCCUCCGAAUCACAUACGCGGUGUAGUGGGGGUAACACAUUCAAGCGUAGGAAACAAUCAGUCGAUGCUAGUGUCUCAGCAAUACAGUAGCUGGACAGGAGUACAGGACUUUAUAGUUUGAGAUCCAAGUGGCUCGCCAAGAUGGAGUGUUGUCACUGACGGACAGAUACGGGGCAGCGACGCUCUCCAAGACUAUCUGUUUUUUUUUCAUAUUUCCCUAUGCCUCCUUUUCCUACAUAUACGUAGGAUUCUUAGGAUUCUUGUACUCUCUCCAUUCCGAAAUAAGUAACGUGAAUUUGUAUAUAUGUAGUUCGCCCAUCCGAUCUAACGCGUUAUAUUCGCUAGUUUUUGCCACUCUCGAACACAUUUGCGUACGAUUGUAUACGAACUUGGAUCGGAUGUGUAUAUGUCUUCUUCUGCUUCCUUCGCUAUAGCCAGCUUGUGUGCUAGAUAGGGAAUGGUAGUACUAUUAAUGCCAUGUGCAAAUUUACAUGAUUCAUACAAAGAACGUCCUUCUUUCUAACUUUGCUACUAAGUAAUUUUGACAUGAAUGGAAGUGUAUACUACUCUUCUAAUUCUAAAUUCUUGACUCAAAUUUAUCCAAAUAUGAAUGUAUCUAUUCUUAAAAAGUUUCUACGUACAUGUAAUAUUUUAACAACAAUUUAAGAUCGAAUUGAGUAUAUUAAAACAUCAGUAGCAGCUAGCAUUAAUAUCACGCAUGAGGAUUAGGCCCCUAAUACAUUAAGGCCAGAGCGAACGAGCUUCUAGCGUAAUGCGUAGAGGCUCUGACAGCACCCUUUUGGUUUUAGUGCUGUCGUGGAGGAUUUAGGGCGUUUUUCAAGCCGAUUAGAAUUUUGUUUACCACAUUUUUUACCAGAUGACAUGGCAGGGGCGGUUAAAUGCCUGACCUGUUUACUUCCUUGGCAAAAAUUAAGUCCCCUUUCUACAAAUCGAAAUCCACGCGCGGCCCCUGUUUCCCCAAUCUGCAUUCGUGGAGAGGCGUCUGCUGCACUCUGUCGAGUAGCCAUUGUGGUGAUCCCGCCACAGCCAAGGAGAGACAGUAAUGGGGGAAGAAAGUUGGUCGUGCUUUUGCACGAAGGGGCCUGAUUGAUGAUUGCAGAACAGUCCGUGAUUCAAAUUAGCCAGAACUGAAUCUUUAUCGGUACUACCCCAUUCCUUUUUGUGUUGUAGUAAACAAUGGUGUUAAGAGUGCUUACUAAGAUAAUGUUAAUUAUCACUUAACUAGAAAGUAAUUACAUAAUUUGGUAAGUAAAAGAAACUACAUAACGAUGUGGGGAUGUAAUAUCUCCCCAUUACUUGUAAGCAUUCAGCUGCUGUUGCAUGCAUAUGUUUGGAGGGAGAUCCAGGAAGAAUAAGAAGAACAGAGUGAUUUAGCACCGGUUGAACCUCUCAUCCAACUCAACACAGAGCACACGCACACGCUGGGCAAAAUGUGCAAACAUAGCAACGAUCAGACUUUUUAGACCGGUUUCUCCUAAAAGCUGUCCUCACCUAGCUUCCUGAAUAAGCCGCACCAAAAAUUUAGCUAGACUUCCAAAAUAGUUUAGACCAAACUAGUUUGGUAGCCUAAUAAAAUUUAGAUGGCGGCUUUUAUAAGAAGCUAGGAAAAGUCAGCUUCUCAGAAAAGCCGGUUCAAGAAGCCGAAAUGAAGUGGCCUUAGUUUAGCUAGUCUUUAACACAGGGUUUGAGAGCCAACUGGCACGCCAAGAUCGAAUAUAUUGUUACCGAUGAACAAAUACGGGGCAAGUGGUGGUAUGCUUUGAUAGUUUUCUCCCAUUUCCCAGUGCCUCCUUUUCCUAUACACAUACGAUUGGUUGUAUGUGCAUACAGUUCAAUAUUCAUCCGCUCUCAUGCGUAUGGAUGGUAGCUAGCAGUUGUCACUGUGCGUACUAACUUGGAUGAGUUUUUUAUAUGCCGUCUUCUGCUUAUUGCUGUAGCGCGCCAGUUAGCGUGUUUGUGUAUAUAUAUAUGUAGCUAACAAGUGUGCUAAAUAAAGUAGCUAGGGAGUAGUGUGGAACUGUGAAUGCCAUGCAUGUGCAAAAUAACUCUUCCUAAACCAAUUGUAUUUAAAUAUUGAAUAAAUUCACCUUCGCGGAAUAUUUGUUGCUAGUCGCCUAUAUUAGCAGCACCAUUAACAUCACAAAUGAGGAUUAAGUCUAAGGAUGGAAGUAUGAUCCCACCUAUGUCCCGCUUUUAGGUUAUUGAAAAUUUUGUACAGUAGGUAAAAAUUUCGGUCUUAACGCAUUCUAGCUGGUCAUUAAACUUGAAGGCAUUGAUUCUUUGUCUAUCUAUAGUCUAUAUCCUUAGAAACUAAGUUUUUUUUUUGUCAUCCUAAUCAAAGUAGGUUGAGUUGAUUCCGGAUGACUUCCCUUAAUUUCAAAAGCAUCAAACUGAUGUCACCACACACCAUGCCUUAUUCGUGGAUGCACACGUAGUGUUUAACAAAUUCACCUUCUGGAAUCUACUCCUCCAAUAAUCCUCGAUUUUCCAUAACCAGUCGUUGUCCUACUUAAUUGCACCUGAACCAACUGUAUUUUUAAUCUCCGUUAAUUUGCAUGUUCACAACUUUUUGUGGAGAGGGUACCGACGUAUGGUAGUUAAAUAAGACACAUCUCCAGUGUGAAUAGAUCGCGUCGGAGUCCUGAAAUCAUGCUAACUUCUUUAGACAUGUGGAAAAUAAACAUGUUGCAGAUAAAUGUGCAUAUCCAUCAGCUGAACCAUUUUGAUCUUUUACUUUGAGUUGUUUUGUACUAGAGUAAACAUUAGUGCCAGGACUGCUUAAUAAGAUAGUGUUAAUUCCCUCAAAAAACAUGGCAGCAGCAGUGGCGAAGUUAGAGAAUUAGGCUAUUGGGUUCGAUCCCUUUGAUUACAGUGUAAUUUUUCACUAAAUAAACAAAGGAAAGACUAAAUUAGUGAAGGGAUUACUUUUUUCAAUGGGAAUGGAUCUACAGCACCUCCACCACUGGGCAGCAGAAGAAACAAUGGGUGCUUGUCUCAACAACCCGGUAGCCGGAUUCGAACUUAUGGUUUGAGACUCAUGUGGUGCGCCAAGAUGGAAUGUCGUCACUGAUGAACAAACACGGGGCGGCAACGCUCUCCAAAACUAUCUGGCUUUGUCCCAUUUCCUGGUGCCUCCUUUUCCUAAGUAUACGUAGGAUUGUUGUAUGUGGAUACAUACAGAUCGUCCACCCAAUCUGACGCGUAUGUACGGCCGAUUUUUGCCGCUGAUCUCUAACAAAUUUACGUGCAGUCGUAUACUAACUUGGAUCGGAUGUGUAUGUCUUGUUCUGUUUCCUUCGCUAUAGCCAGCUUGUGUGCUAGAUAAACUGGGAAAUGGUACUAAGAAGAACAGAGUGAUUUAGCACCGGUUUCGCGGUUUUGCUUGAUUUUUUACCCGUGGAUCCCUCCUGUCGGACGCCAUUUCGGUCCUGAAAACUUGCGAGGGUGAGAAGAAGGCUUGAGGUUUAAUCGCGGGCUAACGGGUCAGCUCGGGUUGGGGCCUUGAUUUAGGUUUUCUAAAGUAAUCGCACGUUUCUCGACUAUCUUUGCCUUUAGUAACAAGAUAGUUUCCGGUCACGUCCUAAUGGUUCCUGACCUGACAAUCGGCGGCCAGCAAGAUGGCCUUGGCCGGCGCACCAACCAAUUAAGCGGCGGAUUGGCCACUGACCAUGGACAUACAAUCACUUAAAUGCAUCCGUGCAGUGUAUAAGGGCAUUUAGAAUGCAUAAUAUCUUAUGUUGUAUCAUAUGCAUUAAAUACAUGUUUUAGACACAACCGCUCUAAUGUUUUGUAUCUAAUACUACUCAUAGUGCAAGUAACUUAGAUAGUAAUGUGCAUGCCAACUAGGCAUUUUGGUGACAUGGCAUAGUAAUAAAUGAAAAAAAAGAGUAAGUUGGUAACUAGAUAUGUUACCAUAACAUCAUACAAAUCAAGACAAAAUGAAUCUACACCAUAAUAGAUGACACAAUGCAUGACAUCACAUGUAAGUUACUUCCCACUAUGAAGGUAGUAAUUUAGACUAAUAACAAAGACAUGUUAUUAGUCUAAGUUAUUAUGCACUAUGACCAUCCUAAUAGGCUCUCAUUUAUUAUGUUUUGUGAGAGAGAAAUUAUGAUUUUUCUUGGGUUUAGCGCUAAGAGUUAUAUCUAGAUUAACAUACCAUGUCAAUCUCUCUCCUCUUUAAAUAACCUUCCACCUCAGCAUUUUGAUUACGUGGCAAUUUUAGAUACAGUACACGUCACUAUAUUGUAAGUGCCCUAACUACUGUGUAUAUAAUCGUCGAUUAGUUAGUGACGCAAUUGGUAUGUCUAAGAAGAGAGCUGCAAUCAUUCAUGGUUAUAAAAGCCUAAAAUCCAUCAAUCAAUCACACUCUAGAACGGAUUCCGAUAUCUCACAUGAAUUAUCAAGAUUAAUUGCUUAAACAUGUUUUGGACAAGACCAACAAAUUAAAUUAAAGCUGCAUGCAUGUGGUGGGGUGCGUUGGCGUCCUUGCGAGCAUAGAGUUCCUUGCGCUACCGAGCUGUGGACUCGCACAAUCUUGGCGCCAAACAUUGAUCCUUGGCAUCCCCGCGGGCAGAUUCUCGCUCAAGCUCUCCCAGGGACUGGUAUUGAGCGGGCCUCUAUAGUAGAGGAGUUCAGCUAUGCACCUAAUCAGAGACCGAAAGGGAGAUGUGCGAUAGUGAACUCUAUCGAGGGCUCAUGGGAUUGAAAUUAUCAUGCUACCCUUGCUGCCCGGUUAUUCUCCUCAGUCGCUCGGAUGGACGCGACGGUACCCGAAGGGCAACCUAGCAUCACACUUUUGAUAUAUGCUCUAUAUCUAAAAGAGCAAGAAUCAAUGCUACCGAUUUCCCCCGAAUUCCCCAAUUUCCUGCUGCCUCCUUUUCCUAGGUAUACUUGCGUACGACUGAAGUCAUGCAAUCUCGUACGUACAUAUACAGUAGGUGUUCUUAAUUUGCAUUGGUAUAUAUUUGGCUAUGGAAUACUCUUGGUUCUAUUUAUAACCGGCACAAGCGAACCAGCUCCAAUUAAUAUAUUUACUGGUAGGAUGGCAUGAGGUGGGUACGUAGGUAGCAAUGCAUGUACUUGCAUCCGAAUAGAUAGAAGUGUAAAAGAUAUUGGUUCCUUUGCAUCUGAAUUUUAAAAACUGACGCAAGAAAAAAGAGAAAAGGGCCAAAUUAAAACAUGUCCAUGUACGGAAAAAAUAAUCCUACAAGUCCUGCGCGGAUGGUUUGUUUUUGAGGAUGUAUCAAUUUUUUUUUUUUGCAGAGACACUGUGGUCAAUUAGAAAUGAAAUGUCUUUGGAAAGCAUAUGCAAAGGCAUCAAGAUGUCACCACACCAUGCCUUAGUCAUGGAUGCACACGUAGUGUUUAACACAAAUUCACCUUCUGGAAUCUACUCCUCCAAUUAUCCCCAUUUAGUUUCCUUGGCUAGCCUUUUUUUUUUUUCCACACAGAAGCAACUAGCUUGGUCCUACUUUACUUAAUUGCAACUGAACCAAUUGUAUUUUUUAAAUCUCCAUUUUGUAUGUUCAUGACUUUUUGUGGGGAGGAUACGGUAAUUAAAUCGGGGUCCCUGCAAUCAUGCUGACUUCACUUUGACAUGUGAAAAACGCAUAUGUUGCAAGUUUGCAAUACAAAUGUGCAUAUCGAUCACGUGGACCAUAUCGAGCACCACCGCCCACCACAUCUGUGCAUAUGAAGUGUGUAAACCUGACAGCAGCAGUGGCGAAGUUAGAGAAUUAGGCUAUUGGGUUCAGUCCCUUUAAUUACGGUGUAAUAUUUCGCUAAACAAGCAAAGCAAAGACUAAAAGUGAAGGAAUUACUAUUUUCAGUGGGAAUGGAUCUACAGCAUCUCCACCACUCGGCAGCAGAAGAAACAAUAUGGGUGCUUGUCUCAACAACCCGGUAGCCGGAUUCGAACUUAUGGUUUGAGACUCAUGUGGUGCGCCAAGAUGGAAUGUUGUCACCGAUGAACAAACACGGGGCUGCAAAGCUCUCCAAAACUAUCUGGUUUUGUCCCAUUUUCUGGUGCCUCCUUUUCCUACUUAUACGUAGGAUUGUUGUAUAUGUGGAUACAUACAGAUCAUCCACGUAUGUACGGCAGUUUUUGCCACUCUCUAACACAUUUACAUUUUAUAUACGGAGUAUGUAAGUUUGUAUAAGAACUUGGUUCGGAUGUGUAUAUGUCUUUUUCUGGUUCCUUCGCUAUAGCCAGCAUAUAUAUACCCAGCUUGUGUGCAAGAUAAACUGGGAAAUGGUAUUGAUGCCAUGUGCAAAAUAACAUGAUUCAUAAAAAAGAACGUCCUUCCUUCUAAUUUUUCUACUAGUGCAAACUGCAAGGAUGGUACUAUAUAUUUAUAUGCUAUAUUUUUGCUUAGCUUCAGUUUAGUCAUGUGCUGCUGUCAAAUUGUACGAAUCAGGUAAGUUGCUUAAAAUUCGAUGCUCAACUUUAUGCAUGCCAACGUAAAUGGACUUUAAACUGCGAAAAUCUAGUGCAAAUAUCCAUCCUUAGGGCAACUCCAGCCACACGACCCAUUUGGGACGGAUCAGACAAAACGCGUCCUCCAGUGAUGCAAUCCAUUUCGGCCACCAUACGCUUUU